UUUGGCAGGGUGAUGAACUUAAAAGAAAAUAUCGGCUUGCUAAAUGGGAUAUCAUCUGUAGACCGAAAGACCAAGGGGGUCUUGGUAUUGAGAAUCUUGAGGUUAAGAACAGAUGCCUUCUUAGUAAGUGGCUGUGGAAGCUCUCAUCUGAGACUGAUGCCACGUGGGUGCAAAUCCUUCGCAGCAAGUACCUCCAGACAAAAACUUUGUCCCGGGUCACAGUCAGGCUGACUGACUCGCCUUUUUGGAAAGGACUGAUGAAAGUCAAACAAUCCUUGUUUAAUAGAACAAAGUUUGUUAUUGGAAACGGCGCUAGUACGCGCUUAUGGGAGGAUACUUGGCUCGGCGAGACACCCUUGGCCAUUCAAUAUUCGUCUUUGUAUCGUAUUGUUCAACGACGUGAGGUGUUCGUUGCAACGGUAUUUCAAUCUAUCCUCCUUAAUAUUCAGUUUAGACGGUCGCUAGCGGGUAAUUGUUGGGAAGAAUGGCUCCGUCUAGUUAGGAGACUGAUGGAGGUUCAGCUUUCUCAACAACGCGAUGAAUUACGCUGGAAACUGACUAGGUUGAGAGUAUUCACAGUUAAAUCAAUGUACAUUGAUGUUAUUAAUUCGAACUCCAUUCCUACCUCCCAGAAUGUUGGGGAUGUCAAAGUUCCUUUGAAAAUAAAAGUGUUUAUGUGGUUUGUUCAUAAACAAGUUAUUUUAACCAAGGACAACUUGAUAAAGCGUAAUUAGACAGGACCUACUAGGUAUAGUUUCUGUGAUCGGGAUGAGACGAUCAAACACCUCUUUCUUGAUUGCCCGUUGGCCAAAGUCCUUUGGCGGACGGUCCACAUUGCUUUUAAUAUUACUCCACCGAAUUCUGUCAACGCGUUAUUUGGGACAUGGCUUAAUGGGAUUGAGUCUGACUUAGCGAGACACAUUCGGGUUGGAGUUUGCGCUUUGAUGUGGACUAUCUGGAAUUGCAGAAAUGAUUUGGUUUUUAACAGAACAUCACGUAUUCAUUUUUUGCAGGUUAUUUUUCGAGCCACGGCACUGAUCCGUUCGUGGUCGCUACUCACUCCGAUGGGGGCCAGGGAGCAUUUGGUUACAGGAUCUAUCCGCUGGGAGAUGAUAGCUCGGGAUAUCUUCAACCGGUUUGAAUGGCGGUCAUGUAAUAGGAUAGGCUAUUAGUUCACAUAUCUAUCUUUAGCCAGCCAGUUGUGGCGUCUUUUCUUGGCUAGUUUGUGUUUCUAGCCCUAUUUGGCUCUGUGUGAGCUUGCUGUCCUUUUUUUUCUACAGUUCGAGGCUUCGAAACCUUGUUGGAACCUUUUUAUUUGGUUAAUAAAAUGGCCGUAUGCAUCACUCUGAUGCAGAGGCCGGGGAGCUCUCCCUUUUCGAAAAAAAUACGAGCUCCCAUUUCCAAGACGGAAUCAAGACUAAUGAAAUCACAAAUCCCUUGUAACGACGUGUUUGACACAAUGGUCACGCAAUCGUGGGAAUUUGUGGCGACAAUUCUAUAUAGCGCUCGCCCGGGGUAGUGACCCUCAUGUUCCAUAUGCUACCAUGUGAUAGUAUAUAUACUAUUUUAUCAUUUUAAAUAUGUUCAUAUAUCAUUCUAAGUAUAUAUACUAUUUCAUAUACCAUGGGAUGGUAAAAGCGCUAAAUAGGAGCUUCCGGUCUUAUUUCAGCCGAAACACGUACAGAAAAAUAAAGUAGGAAUAAAAUCCUGAAGGAGUGCCCAAAAAUGACCAGAGGCUCCGGGAAGGGAUACUCCUGAGUUAGUUGUUCUCUUCGGCCUUUAACAUUCAGUGCAGUAUAGACACUCUGCCAGUUGAUCAUGGGCUUGCACAGUAGCUCACCUGGUUCGUGUCCAGGCUCUACGACAUUGUGCUUGUGGGAAGUUAAAGCACGUCGAAUUAGUAAUCACGCUCAACAACAUUCAGCAUAAUAAUCGAUGAUUCCCUACACUAUGGCCAGCCUAAAAAAAAUCGAGGAAGGACGACCAAUCCAUUUGGGUCAAAAGUCAAAACACGCCACUACAUGCCGCACCUCCUCGUUUGCCAGUUCAAGCCUCUUUUGGUUCAUAUGAUAGAAAUGUUAUAGGAAUAGGAAAAUUAUAAAAAGUGAGAUGACAUGCAUCUUAAUUUUUAUAGAGAAAGAGAUGUCAUUUAAUGCAUAGGAUAGAAAUUUUUCCAUUGAGUCUUAGCUAAUAUUUUUUUUCCUCCAAAAUGUGAAGGAUUGAUUCCUAUCCUAUAUAGGAAUAGAAAUCCAUUUCUACAAACAAAAAGGCUUUAAAAGAAAUUUUUCUAUGCAAAUCUUAUCCUAUAGAAAUCCUAUGACAUUCUUACAAACCAAAAGAGACCGGAGUGGUUGUGGGCUUGUGGUUGUGGCGAUGGGGGUGCGCGCGCAUCUCCUCGUCGUCCUUUGCAUCCUCGUCGCCGGCACAAGCACGGCUCAGCUUUUGCCGCCGCGCGGCCCGGCACCGCAGAUGAAGCCACCGCCGUUCGGGCGCGCCAUGACGAUGAUCAUCACGGUGGUCGCCGUGGCCAUCGGCGUUCUCUUCCUCCUGCUCUUCUUUUGCGCGUACGUCACCCAGUGCCGCCUCGUCGAGGACCACGGCGCGCCGCAGGAGGGUAGCGUCGCGCCGGGCGGGGUGUCCAGGCGGGGAAAGCGCGGGCUGGACCCGGCGGUGGUGGCGACGUUCCCGAUCGUGCCGUACAGGGAGAUCAAGGAGCACAAGAUCGGCAGUGGCGCGCUGGAGUGCGCCGUGUGCCUGACGGAGUUCGAGGACGCCGACGACCUCCGGCUGCUGCCGCACUGCUCGCACGCGUUCCACCCGGAUUGCAUCGACCCGUGGCUCCAGACGCGGACCACGUGCCCGCUGUGCCGCGCCAACCUCGAGAAGCCACCGCCACCGGCUGCCGCCCCAGCGCCCUCCUCGCCGCCGCAUGCCGUCGUGGCGAUGCCGGUGCAGCAGGGUGAGCAGAAGGAGGACAGUGACAAGGACGACCGGAAGGAGGAGGCCGCAGAGCUGGAGAAGCUGCGCAGGGAGCGCCGGGCGGCGAGGCUGCUGAGGUCGCACUCGACGGGGCACUCGGCGGAGCAGUGCGACUGCGAGGACCACGAGAGGUUCACGCUGCGGCUGCCGCAGCACGUGAGGGAGGAGGUGCUCAGCAGGUGCUGCGCGAGGCCGUCUGUGGAGAGCCUGAGCGGAGGAGGGUGCGGUGUGGGAGAAAGAGGAGGCAGCUUCCGCGACGCCGGAGGAGCCAGCAGCGGCGAGCGGCGGUGGCAGACGCUCCUGGCCAGGACGAUGCCAUGGGCCCGAGCCGGGUCGACGCGGAAGGUGCGGGAUGACGUCGCGGCCUCCACGACGGCCGCGCGGCCAUGACCCAGACGACGUCGACGCCGGAACAUUUCGUGUGCUCUUUCCGUUGACUCUGAUGGUGUACAUUGAUUCUUUUGUAAUUCCGUUGGGUGUGGUGUGGGAGGCAAUUCGAUCACAGAGGAGCAGCGUAUGCGUGGUGGUGAUGCUUUGUUUGUGCUCCUUGGUGUUGAUGGGUUAAUGGUUGGUUGGGUGUCCGUCCGUUGCUCUCGGUCAACCCUUCGUUUGAAUGAAAUAUUCAUGUACGUAAAAACACGAGUGUAAACAACGGAUAUGGAAAAGUUUCUCGUGCUGAAAAAUUCUGUGGAGAAGAACGUGCAUGUGGCAUGAAUAUGGCCGUUUGAGUAGGUAUCAUUUUGGCAUUCGGCGUUUGGCUAGCGGAUAUCCGGAGGUAGGAGUACUUGUUUUCUCAACCUGAUCGUGAUUUGUCUUUUUUUUUCUCGAGCUGUGAAUCAAAAAUGAGUUUGAAAUUUCAAAUAAAAUACUUGGGAGCAAGAUGUUUGAGUGGAUGAAAAUUAUCCACCAAAAUGGAAUAUACUAGAAUGUAUCCUUAGGAAAAAGAACAAGAAUUUUCUCAGAAGAAAAUUUCUAAAGAUGAAGAAAAGAAAGGUGUUGAAGUUCCUAAAGUAUGUCGAGGAUAAACAGUUUUCCUGUUUCUCAUCUAGCUGAGAAAUAGUUGUGUCUCAAUCACCUUAACCACCGUUGGUCGGAUCAUGUGUGCUGCAAUAUGUGCGUGAGCUGACCAUGAGCGCAUUAUGUUUCUAAUCGGCGACAGUUUCUUUUUCUUUUUUUGAAUAACAAUCGGCGACAGUUUCUUGUUUCAUGUGGGUGCUGCGAUUUGUGCACGGGGCGGUGCGGCUAUGUAUCGCUUACAGCGAUCCCGAGUGCAGUGUCACCUGCAUCGCUCCGCGGCGCUCCCUAACUGGGCUAACUAUGUGCGACACUGCUCUGUUUGCUCGUUUGUUUUUCUUCUUUUCUUUAUUUUAUACUUAUAUUUCUGUUUUGAAAUAUCGGAAAAAAUAAACAUUUAUAUUUAACUGUUUUAUGAAGUGUUUUAAAAAAAUAUUUAUACAGUGCUAAAAAAAUGUUUGCCCAACUUUCAACCAGUUUUAAUGGCAAUAAAAAAUAUAUACAUCAAAAAAUAUUAACGUGUUUUGAAAUAAGUUGUGACAUUUACAAAAAAGAGUUAUGUAAUGUUAAAUAAAAAUUCACACAACUUCUUCAAAACGUAUAUAAAAUAAUUCAGUUUUUAGGAAAAAAAUGUUUUAUUAAAUGUUAUGCAAUGUAAAAAAAUUGUUCCCAUAAUUCAAAUAUAUAUUUCACACCAUUUAAGAAAGAUAUGUGAAAAUUCAAAAAUGUUCAUGUGUUUCCAAAAUAUGUUUUUCAUUUUCUACAAAUAAUUUUUAAAAAAAUAUUAAACUAUAUAAAAACAAUGUUUUGUAGCAUUCAAAGAGGUUAAUGUUCAACAAUUAUUUUAAAAAUAUUUAACACAUAUUAAAAAUAUGUAUUUGAAAAAAGGUUCAUCAUGUAUUUAGAAAAUGUUCAAUGUGUAUAAAAAAUAUUACAUGUUUCUACAAAAAUGUACAAUAUUUAUAUCAGAUGUAGCCACGUGUUAAAAAAGCAAAAAGAAAAGAAAAUUGAUGAAGCAAUACAUAAGACCGGAGAAAAACAGUGAAGGAAACACAUAAUAAAACAAGAAAAAAAACCACCGAAAAAACUUGUCAAAACUACUACAUAAACAAACAGGACAGGAAUCUGGGUGAGGAGGAUAUGGAGUGACACAAAGUAGUAAGAGGUGGGCAAGUAUCGAACAAAGAAAUGGAAGAUCGACAAAAGAAGAGAAGGGGAUCUAGGAUGGAGUUUGAUUGAUAGAUAGAUGUAGACGGGGAGAAAAAAGGGGAUCCGGGAGAAGAACAUGAGGGAAGGAGUUCGAAUAUGGCAUAACGCCAGUCGCCGAACUAACACCGGAAAUCGCCAUGGAGGCAAGUCGUGCCGCUUCCGAGCGGUCCAGUCUACCACAACAACAGGUGAAACCUACUUAGGAUUUGCAACAAAAGAAAUAUAGCUACCGGUAAUGGGGUGCCCCCAUACAGUUUUCUCUAUGGGAUUUUUACACUUUUUUGUUCUGCCAUAUGUGGCCUUUCCUGUUUGACCCCUGAAGAUCCCAAGUACUUGCUCGUGGAGUGUUGUUUGUAGGGACUCCACGGGCAAGUACUUGGGAUCUGCAAUGAUCAAAUGUUUAGGUAUAACUGACCUUUCUUCCCUGGAGGCGAUGGCAUGCCGGGAAGUGUUGGUACUCGCCCUUGAACUAUCGCUAAUGGAUGUGGUGAUUGCUUCAGACUGCCAAGGAGUGGUCAAUGAUAUUCAUAUCGAUACAGGUGGACUAUAUGCAAGCAUCAUCAAGAAGAUCAAUCAUACAUCCAAGUAGAUAGCUCGUUGUUCCUUCAACUUCGAAGGAAGAGAGACUAAUAUCGACGCGCAUAGCCUCGCUAAACACGCUCUAGGCUUUUCUCUAGAACGCCAUGUGUGACCCUGAAUGUUCCAGACCUAAGUUGUAUCCCCAUGAACUUAUUACUUGAUCAAUAUAAUGGAGUGUGUUUGGAGUAAAAAAUGGUGGGGCCUUUUUCACCUCUCUUUUAUCGUUAGAAGACUUUGAGAGCAGAUCCGUGUUGCUGGGUUGUCUCUCAUAUGUGUUAUUUUCUUAUCUCACCUUUUACUUUUCAGUUCUAAUUUUUUUUAUGUUUCUUUUAUUUUUAUAAUAUUUUUUCCAUGUUCAUACGACGAAUACAAGGGUGCAAUUUCAGUGUGUUUAUAUUUUUAUUACGCAAACACCCACAAGUGUCCGAGUUGCAUAUUUAUCACAUUGUAACCCAAGUGUAACUGCAUGGGCAUAAAACGACUUCAAACGGGGUCGGGAGGGUAUUGACGGGCUACUAGACAUGCAACUGCAAGCGUUGUAACUCAACUGCAACUGCGCGCACAAAAGUGACUGCAACUAGGGCCGGAAGGGGAGUUGCCGACGCCAGUUGCAUGUCGACCACUACAUGCAACUGCAAAUGUUGUAAUCCAACUAUAAGUCCAAGGGCACAAACCGGUUGCAACUAGGUCGGGAGGAAAGUUUUUCGUGGCCAAUUGCAUGUCCAUCAAUAGACAUGGAACCGCAAACAUUGUAACCAAACUACAACUCCAUGGGCACGAAUCAAUUACAACUAAGGUCGGAAGUGGAGUUUGUGGGGACCAGUUGCUUGUCCACCACCAAACAUGCAAUUGCACGGGCGCAGAGCGACAACAAUUAGGGCUGAGCUGAUUUUUCUUCUACUUGUCGCAUGCACACAAGUUGCAUGAGUCGCACCCAUGAGUUGCAACUGUGACAAGACAUAUGCAACCAGUGCCGACCUGGUCUUUUCCCUACUAGUCACACAUGCGCGACUUGGAUGUGACGCACCAAUGCACAAUUGCAACCAUCGCAACACGUAGGCAACUAGCGUCAACCUGAUUUUCCUACUAGUCCAUGUGCAUGAGAUGCAUACGACACACCGGUGCACAAUUGCAAAUGCCUAACUAGACAAAGAUAAAGUACCAAACUGACAAGCAGAACAAGACAAUAGCUCAGUAGGGAAGUGAAUGAGAGGUAGUUAUAUCUCGAUGAGUUCUAGGCACUACCAAGAAUAAAUAGAAAAUAUAUGUUUUCACUUACAAAAUAAAGAUUUUUUCCUUUUAUUUUCCUUGUCUAAUGGAAGGUAUACACAUUAGAUGGACCAAACACACAAUAGUAGAUCUUUCACAAUGGUUAAUCUAAUGGUUCAUCCUCGAUUUUGGAAAUCACUUGUACGAAUAACCAAGACCAUAUUCACAAUACAAACAUUUGCUUCCCAUCUAAGAAACAAAAGGUAGGAGUCUUCUUGUCGAUAACAUCUUAGAUGUCGGUACCAUUGUCUUCAAUUAUAGCACAAAAUCGGAGCCGUUAUGAUCAAAUGUGUCGUAAAAGUAGCCUCUCUUGCAAUAUGGGGCAUCUUAGACCAUGUGGUUAGAUCAUAAUGGCCAAGCAUAUGGAUGUUGGUACAAACAUAGUCUAAUAGAACAAAGAGCGGACAAGAUGACCCCGGGACUCAUUGAUGGUGAUAGACCCUAUAAAUGAUCCUUUUUUACAAAAAGACUGGUUUAGCAAAAUAGAUCAAACAGAUUAUAUAUUAUCAAAAGGAAGUGAGCUGUUUCAAAGACCAUUCAACAAGUACCUCGCUAAAUAGUGUCUCAUCUACGCUUCAUUUUAUACAUUUUUUUAUCAAGAAAAAAGACCACAAUAAACUCUUCGAUUUCUGUCAUCGGGAACCUAGGAAAUGAACAAGUCCAAGAACCCACAACCCACUGUCAAAUAGUACGAGUAGAACAAGCUACUUUGUCGAACCUACACACUACCCCACCUAUCAGAUAGAAUGUUAGGGGGCACAGGGUAGGCUACUCUAACACAAUACGAAGCAUUUCUACCUUGUGCCAUCCAAGAUCAUGCUAUCGGAAGGAGAUCGCGUACGUAUCACUCGACACGUGCAUACUGGUAGAGGGAGUAGACUCGACGAAGCUCGUCGCCGUACUUGUAUUCAUACGUCUCCACUUCUCACCAGAUUCGUCUAAGCAUGACACGAGCCACACCUCCAAAGUGUAUCCACAAAUACGUGUCUAAGGACUAAGGCUGGUCAUAGUGGGGAGUAACUUAGACUAGUGUCAUGCAUAUGACAUUAGUCUAAGUUACUACCUUCGUAAUGCAAAGUAAUAUACUAGUAAUAUCAUAGAUGACUUCAUUUAUUAGCUCGUAGACUCAUCUUGUCUUGAAAAACGUUAUGUUACAGUAACAUAUUAUGUUGCCAUCUUUCAUUAGUUACUUGCCACAUAAGCAGAAUUUUCUUGAAGUGCGCUAUGUUACUAGCUAAGUUACUCCCACUAUGACUAGCCUAAUGGUGGACUUCUUGGUUCCUUGCCAUAGGCCAUUGGAAAGGAGACAAUGGCACUGGGUUGGUUUCUCUAAAGCCUAGAGUGGGUCCAGGCAUUACUAGCUAGAACCCGAGGUGAAGAUAUUGAUACCCAUCUACUUUAAAAACGGAUCGUUUGGCAGGCAUGCGGACAUUAGAUCUCACUUGAGUAUCUGGGAACGACAACUAGCCAUGCCAAACAUGUUUGUAAUUGGGCAAGUUUUCAUACGGUAAUUGUCCACAUAUCUUUACCUAAUAAUAAAGCAAAUUGGAUUUCUUUCGUCCGUCAUGGCAUUUUUCAGAAAAGUCCCUCUAUUUCAGAGAAUUCAACCCGCAGUCCAGUUUUAAGUUAAAACGAAUCAUUAUUUUCGUAUUUUACAUAAAAGUCCAUGUCUUUUCUUGAAAUCAACCCGCCGUCUGGAUUUAAGUCACACCCGAACCGUUAUUUUACAUUUUUCAAAAACCCCAUAAUGUUUUAGGUAAUUCAUCCGCCGAUCAUAUUUAAGUCAAACAAAUGCUUUUUAAAAUCAUCCAUAUCUUUUAAACCGUAACUCCGAUUUGAACAUGUUAUAUAUGAAAUUUGAUUAGAAAAAUAUGUAGAAUAUGAAUAUGAGAUUAUUUUUACCUAUUAAGUAUUUUUAAAUAUUAUUUUGGAAUAUAUUUAAGUCAAACCAGAUGAUUUUUUAAAUUAUCUGUAUCUUUUAAACCGUAACUUCGAUUUUAACAUAUUAUAUAUGAAAUUUUAUUAGAAUAAUGUGUGGAAUCUAAAUAUGAUGUUAAUUUUACCUAUUAAAUAUUUUUAUGGAAACAAACUUAUAAUUUAUAGCGCAAUAUCUUUUUUAAUACCGGCGGCGAUCCAGAUUGCAAAUAAACACCCCACUAUAACCAUAUAGGGAAAAGAAAACAUUGAUAACUACACAUGCAUACCUCUAAAAAAUGUCGCAAGGGAAAACAACAGAUUUCUCAUCACGAAAGAGAGAGAGAGAGACGCCUUAGGAUUAACCAUAUUCAACACAUAUUUUUUGUUGUUUUGUGUGAACACCGAGGCCAUCACCGGCGAGGGUGAGAAGGAGGAUAAGCGGCAACACAAAUAUGAUGCCUUGCAAAAAUAAAGGAGAUGGACCUAUUGUGGUCUUAAGUGAUGGUUGUUGAGUUAAGAGCGUGCGUUAUGUUUUCUCUCCCGUUGCAACGCACGGGCUCUUUUGCUAGUAUGUUACAAAAUUACAUAUCAUAGAGAACCUUGUACUCUGCAGACGAGACAAACUUGGUAAGUUUUGAACAUGAAUUUUUUGUGGUGGCAAUUGGAGGCUGAGUGUAUGAACCUCUUAGCAGACCAUCAGCAAUGGCCUUGUAUGACGUUUCUGUGGGAUGCAAGCCAUCCCAAGAUGCAUACUUUUGUGGGUUAUCACACAUCUUGUAUUCUCCAUGUCCACACUUUGUGGUUAUUGACACACCAUAAGGCCCUUCUACACCGCAGCAAGCCACCAAAGGAUCCUCGAUACCUAAAGAGCAGUUACAGCAAAUGAGAGUCGGGACUAGCAUAUGCAUCUUUUAGUAGAGAAUGUUUUUCUUGCUGCCUUCUAAGUGAUUUCAUGUAUAAACCAUAAAGUUUUGGACCCACCAAACUGAUAAGGGGAAACGAAGAUUUCCGUAGCAGCUCCAUAGUAAUCAGCAUAGAUGAUUGACACACUUGGAUGAAGCUUUCUUAACUUUUCCAACUCAUCCACAAAGAAGUUUGUUGUGGUAGCGUGAGAACUCAUUCAUCCAACGAAUACAACAUGUCUCUGACUCAUAAUCCUCCAUGUUAUCACUUUGGUGCAUCGUGAGGUACACCGGCAAGCACCCGAUGGGGAGGUUGCCGGGAACUAAUAGAGUUUUGGCUCCUAGUGCAAUCAGAUCCUGGAAAUUGCACCUCGUUACAUUGCAUUAUUAUGUAGUUAUGCACUAUUUAUGUAAUUGAGAUUUGACAUAAUAACAAUGGCGAUGAUAGCAUAAGGAGCAAAAACAGAAAAUGACUCACGAUGAUUGUAGAUGAUAUUUUGGAAAUAACACUCGGAGUGAACAAGCGGAUCUUCUCAACAGGCACCAAAGAGGUAAGAGGAAUGUUGUAGUCAUUUCCCCCAAUUUCUCCAACCAAAAAAAGAGAAUUGUUCAUCAUGUCCGCACAGUCUGUUGCAUAAACACGUUACUUUAUCAAUGCGGAAAGGUAACAUCUUAAUAAAUUUAGAAAAUAUAUCGAAAUAGAAAAUACAACAUUUUAUGGUAGCAAAAUAGUGAAAAGGUGUACAACAAUUUAGAUCCAUUUUUUUCUGAUUCCGCUGUAGAGGAAAUUUGGAAGUCUAUAUCUUUGACUUUGAACGCCAAAGUUGUCUCCUCUGGAUAAUAGUAAUGUUGUUGUCAUUUGGUAAAACAAACCAAUUGUAGGUUAUUUACCGUUCCUGUUGAAAUUUCUAAAAUCAAGCUACAACCUCAAUAUAUUAGCAUAAUUUGGGCAUCAAUAUGGACCUUGGAAAUUAUUGGGCUAGGCCCAUUAAUUAUCACAAAAAAUUCCCAAUAAAUCUUGAAGGCCCACUCAUGCAUGCCGACUCCUAUUUGACGCCCUCGGCACCUGUUAUAGGCAAAUCCUAUUUAGCGCUGCAGGCGCUGGUUUCUUCUAUUUCUGCAAACCGGCGCCUGCAGGCUCCUUAGCUGGGCUCGGCCCAUUUAGCAUUUCCUUUUGUCUGUUUUAAAGUGCAAAAAUGUUGCCAGCGAAAGAAUCGACCCUCAGCACCUGUUAUAGGCAAAUCCUAUUUAGCGCUGUAGGCGCCGGUUUCUUCUAUUUCUGCAAACCGGCGCCUGUAGGCUCCUUAGCUGGGCUCGGCCCAUUUAGCGUUUCCUUUUGUCUGUUUUAAAGUGCAAAAAUGUUGCCAGCGAAAGAAUCGACCCUCAGCACCUGUUAUAGGCAAAUCCUAUUUAGUAUAACCAUCGUUAACUUAUCGAUUGAAACUGCUUCCAUCCUUUUUGUUCUUUCCUAGUUCGCAUCUCUUCUUCUUUUUCUAUUUUUCUGUCCUUUUCUUCCUUUUCUAUUUAUUUAUUUUUCUGAAAUGCGCAAUUUAAAUCCAUGAACUUUUUCUUCAUAAUCAACGAACUUUUCUCCAAAUUUAUGAACCAUUUUCAAAACUUGUGAACAUUUAUUAACAUUUGAUGAACUCUUCUCAGAAAUCCAUGAACUUAUUUUUCAAAUUCGAUGAACUUUUCUCAAAUUUAACGAACAUUUAAAAUUCGUUGAACUUUUUAUGAAAAUCAAUGAACUUUUUUCAAAUUUUGAUGACCUUUUUUCUAGUUUGAUGAUUUAUGUUUUCAAAUUUCAUGAACUUUAUCUUAAAUUCGAUGAACUUUUCUCAAAUUUGAUGAACUUUUUUUUUAAAAUUGGUGAACUUUUUUCAAAAUCAAUGAGCUCUUUUCAAAAUCGAUGAACUUUUAUCAAAAUCGAUGAACUCUUUCUCAAAUUUGGUGAACUCUUUCUCAAAUUUGGUGAACUUUUUUAAAAAAGUUCAAUGAACUUUUUUAAAAUUCACGAACUUUUUCCUUUUUUUGAAGUUUUCUUUUCAUUUCAUUGUUUAUGUGAAUGUUUUUUAAUAUUUAUGUUUUCUUUAGUCAAAUAAUCCAUGGUUCAUGUAAAUACCCAGUUUUCCUUAAGUAAUCAAAGAACUAAACAUGGUCUAGCGGUUAACUCGUGUAGGGCACUACCGCUGCGUCCUUGGUUCGAGUCCCACUUCUCCCCGAAAGUAACGUCACAUUUUGCACUCUCCUUUUGCUUUGCAGCACGUUGCUGGGCCGGCCCACUUCGCGUCCGUGCGAGCGCCAGCGACACGAAGCGGCGCCUACAGCGCUCAAUAGGAACUCUCCCUGUUAUAGGCCAUUCCGUAAACCGGCGCACACUCCACUACAAACUGGGCUGACCCAUUCAUUUUUAUUUUCUUUUCUUUUAGCCUUCAAAAAAUGGGUGUCCAACGUGAGAAUCCAACUCCAAACCUCUUGCGAACCAACCUGUGAUUGAGAUGGGAAUGUAACGUCACAUUUUGCAUUCUCCUUUUGCUUUGUAGCACGUUGCUGAGCCNNNNNNNNNNNNNNNNNNNNNNNNNNNNNNNNNNNNNNNNNNNNNNNNNNNNNNNNNNNNNNNNNNNNNNNNNNNNNNNNNNNNNNNNNNNNNNNNNNNNNNNNNNNNNNNNNNNNNNNNNNNNNNNNNNNNNNNNNNNNNNNNNNNNNNNNNNNNNNNNNNNNNNNNNNNNNNNNNNNNNNNNNNNNNNNNNNNNNNNNNNNNNNNNNNNNNNNNNNNNNNNNNNNNNNNNNNNNNNNNNNNNNNNNNNNNNNNNNNNNNNNNNNNNNNNNNNNNNNNNNNNNNNNNNNNNNNNNNNNNNNNNNNNNNNNNNNNNNNNNNNNNNNNNNNNNNNNNNNNNNNNNNNNNNNNNNNNNNNNNNNNNNNNNNNNNNNNNNNNNNNNNNNNNNNNNNNNNNNNNNNNNNNNNNNNNNNNNNNNNNNNNNNNNNNNNNNNNNNNNNNNNNNNNNNNNNNNNNNNNNNNNNNNNNNNNNNNNNNNNNNNNNNNNNNNNNNNNNNNNNNNNNNNNNNNNNNNNNNNNNNNNNNNNNNNNNNNNNNNNNNNNNNNNNNNNNNNNNNNNNNNNNNNNNNNNNNNNNNNNNNNNNNNNNNNNNNNNNNNNNNNNNNNNNNNNNNNNNNNAAUCCAACUCCAAACCUCUUGCGAACCAACCUGUUGUUUAAAUGGGAAUGUAACGUCACAUUUUGCAUUCUCCUUUUGCUUUGUAGCACGUUGCUGGGCCGGCCCACUUCGUGUCCGUGCGAGCGCCAGCGACACGAAGCGGCGCCUACAGCGCUCAAUAGGAGCUCCCCCUGUUAUAGGUCAUUCCGUAAACCGGCGCACACUCCACUACAAACUGGGCUGACCCAUUUAUUUUUAUUUUCCUUUCUUUUUGCCUUUAAAAAAUGGGUGUCCAACGUGAGAAUCCAACUCCAAACCUCUUGCGAACCAACCUGUGGUUGAGAUGGUUAGGUGGACAGUGGUAUUCCCAACCCACCAGGGUUCAAAUUCUGGUGCUCGCAUUAUUUCUGGAUUUAUUUCAGGAUUUCCGGCGAUGCGCUUUCAGUGAGAGGAGACGUUCCCGUCGACGACGAGGUGCCUACGGUGACUUCGUAAAUCUCAAGAUGAUAUGCCGGCUCAGUCUCUCGGAGGUGCUCAUAGGGAUAGGGUGUGCGUGUGUGCGUUCAUAGGGAUGAGUAUAUGCGCGUGUAUAUGAGCGCUUGUGUCUGUAUUGAUGCUCAAAAAAAAAAAACUCCAAACCUCUUGGUUUGGUUCAAACCGCAGUAACCAACUGAGACAGCUUACUAGCUGUACCUAUUUACUUCUUUUUCUUCUAGUUGUGCGUCAAAUUAAAUGCAGCAGUUUCCCUGUAUGGUUUUCUUUCUUUUUUCUGGUUUUGUUUGGCUGUUUCUUCUUUUCUUUAUUUAGUUUUUUCUCUUUCUCUAUCCCUUUUUAUUGUCUUUUCUUUUUUUAGAUUCGUGAACUUUCUUAUAAUAAUGAAUUUUUUCUUAAAUUCAUUAACAUUUUUCUAAAUUCGUCAACAUUUUCUUACAUUCGUGAACUUUUUUCAAAUCAGCAAACUUUUGCCGAAUCCAUGACUUUUCUUCGAAUGCAUGACAGUUUUUCAAAUCCACAAACUCCUUUUAUCCAAGGGUGUUUAGCUUUUGUCCAAAAGACUAGCACAACAGUGUUGCCAAUUAAUCGCGAUGUGCCUGAACCGAUCAGGCUCCAAUUUAUUGUUACUUUUGUACUCACUCUGUAAACUAAUCUAAGAGUGUUUAGAUCACUAAAGUAGUGUUCUAAACACUUAUAUUAAUUUACGGAGGGAGUAAUAAAUAAUGCCCAAGACUUGCUGUGUACAUGUUGCGGCUUUGUCCAAGUCUAAGGCUAGUUUAUCUUGCAGUUAGCUAGACUAGAAUCAAUGCGAGGACUUUGGCCACGAUCGCGUCCGUGGGAUGGCACGGGAGUGAUGGAUCGUGGGCAAGAUCUUCGGUUCCCAUGAAUAAAAGGAGAAACCCGAAAAGGACGUAGGUGUUGAGCGCAUCGCAAAAACCUGUUUCUCUGUGUGUUGCUAUUCGUCAGUUUUCUGUCAGAGAGAGUUUUAGAGCUUGGCUCACAAAUCCACGUGAUUGUGUUGUGUUUCAGGGCCUGAGAUCCAACACAAAACUUAGCGAUAGCUUGCUCAAGAAAAAAAUGACCAAAGAUGGAUGACUAAAGGAGGACCAAAGGAGUAAAUAAAAGAUCAAAUCAGGGACAGAUGUGCUAAUAAGGAUCAAAUCAGAUAAGUACCUGCAGGCAGGAUUCAUCCCACGUACAAACUGGCAAAAUUGUAGGGCAUGUUAGUAGAAAACUUCAAGACAUAUAUCGCAAAAGAAUAUAUGAUGAGCUGAUCUAGCUCAGAAACCAAGUGAGCCUGCACCCGCAUAUGAAGUUUACCUAAACUGAACAAGACAAGAUAUCCUGGUCAUAUUAGAUAUGCACGGCCAGUUUCCAUGGAAUGGAAGGCGUCCUAUUACAGAGUUCUUAUUAUACUUAGUGGAUCCUGAGGCAUAAUGAUACAUACCAAAAAAUUAAACUUUGUUUCGAGCUUUAAAUACAGUCCAGAGAACAACAGCAACACCGACUGGUACUAUCUAUCAAUAAAGAAACAAGCAUAUUACAGAGACUGAAAGCACACUUCACUAUGCGCCGCACAAACCUUGCUACCGGCCAGCUAAAACCAUGCAAUUAAUUUGAAAAGUACAAGAAAUAUAGCACCAAGGAGAAAUCAUAGAGGUUACCUUGGCAUCUUAACAAGAUACGGAGCUCACAUCAAUCUCGACAAAAAAGUUGUGAAGCAAGGAAAGAGAGGAGCUUCAGAGUUAGUGGUGGGUGCUGCAUGAAGUGCAGUGGGAAGCAGAGCUUCAGACUCUGCUUUUGCAUGAAGUGCAGUGGGAUGCAGAGUGAAUGGUAGUAUGGAAGUGAGUAGUGCACUUCAUGUAGAAUAGUGCACUUAGUCACUUCCAUACUACCAUUCCUGAACUCUGCUUCAGAGUUAGCGGUUGGGAUGCUGUAAUACAAAAUUGACAAACAGUAUGUAGUCAUGCCAAACAUCAUACUUGAGGCGGCUUCCACGUGAUUGUAUAUACCACCUCAUCGCAUCACGUCACCUUGGAAGCUGUGUUGAAGGAAAUUACUCCAUCCAUCCCUUAAUAUAAGAACAUUUUCAAACUAACAUAGCUUGAAAAACAUUCUUACUUAUAUUAUGGGACGGAGGGAGUACUUCCCUCAUUGGAAAAAUAAUAUCCGGCAAGUAAAUUAAGAGGUUGAAAUAUCUGAAUGCAGAGGAGUUAGUGUAAAGUAAAUAAAGAGGCUACAAGACCUUUCAGAUGGAGAUGGUGCAUACUUCAAACACUACUUCAAGCAACAUUCUCUCAAGCAACACUAGGAUAAGAAGCAUUCUUCAAUCGACACUUGUAUUUCCUCCACCUCGGCUCCCACAUCAUCAUUUGAGUGGUUCACGCAGGAAGUAAGUGUUGGGGAACGUAGUAAUUUCGAAAAAUUUCCUACGCACACGCAAGAUCAUGGUGAUGCAUAGCAACGAGAGGGGAGAGUGUGAUCUACGUACCCUUGUAGAUCGACAACGGAAGCGUUAGCACAACGUGGUUGAUGUAGUCAUACGUCUUCACGGCCCGACCGAUCAAGCACCGAAACUACGGCACCUCCGAGUUCUAGCACACGUUCAGCUCGAUGACGAUCCCCGGACUCCGAUCCAGCAAAGUGUCGGGGAAGAGUUCCGUCAGCAUGACGGCGUGGUGACGAUCUUGAUGUACCACUGUCGCAGGGCUUCGCCUAAGCACUGCUACAAUAUUAUCGAGGACUAUGGUGGAAGGGGGCACCGCACACGGCUAAGAAUAUGAUCACGUGGAUCAACUUGUGUGUCUAGGGGUGCUCCCUGCCUCCGUAUAUAAAGGUUCAAAGGGGGGGGGUGCGGCCGGCCAGGAGAGGGCGCGCCAGGAGGAGUCCUACUCCCUCCGGGAGUAGGAUCCCCCCUUUCCUAGUUGGAAUAGGAUUCGGGAAGGGGGAAAGAGGAGAGAGAGAAGGAAGGGGGGCGCCGACCCCCUCUCCUUGUCCUAUUCGGACUAGGGGGGAGGGGCGCGCGGCCCAGCCCUGGCCACCUCUCCUCUCUUCCACUAAAGCCCACUAAGGCCCAUAUACCUCCCGGGGGUUUCCGGUAACCUCCCGGUACUCCGGUAAAAUCCCGAUUUCACUCGGAACACUUCCGAUAUCCAAAUAUAGGCUUCCAAUAUAUCAAUCUUUAUGUCUAGACCAUUUUGAGACUCCUCGUCAUGUCCAUGAUCACAUCCGGGACUCCGAACAAACUUCGGUACAUCAAAAUGCAUAAACUCAUAAUAUAACUGUCAUGGAAACCUUAAGCGUGCGGACCCUACGGGUUCGAGAACAAUGUAGACAUGACCGAGACACGUCUCCGGUCAAUAACCAAUAGUGGAACCUAGAUGCUCAUAUUGGCUCCUACAUAUUCUACGAAGAUCUUUUAUCGGUCAGACCGCAUAACAACAUACAUUGUUCCCUUUGUCAUCGGUAUGUUACUUGCCCGAGAUUCGAUCGUCGGUAUCUCAAUACCUAGUUCAAUCUCGUUACCGGCAAGUCUCUUUACUCGUUCCGUGAUACAUCAUCUCACAACUAACUCAUUAGUUGCAAUCCUUGCAAGGCUUAUGUGAUGUGCAUUACCGAGAGGGCCCAGAGAUACCUCUCCGACAAUCGGAGUGACAAAUCCUAAUCUCGAAAUACGCCAACCCAACAUGUACCUUUGGAGACACCUGUAGAGCACCUUUAUAAUCACCCAUUUACGUUGUGACGUUUGGUAGCACACAAAGUGUUCCUCCGGCAAACAGGAGUUGCAUAAUCUCAUAGUCAUAGGAACAUGUAUAAGUCAUGAAGAAAGCAAUAGCAACAUACUAAACGAUCGGGUGCUAAGCUAAUGGAAUGGGUCAUGUCAAUCAGAUCAUUCACCUAAUGAUGUGAUCCCGUUAAUCAAAUAACAACUCUUUGUCCAUGGUUAGGAAACAUAACCAUCUUUGAUUAACGAGCUAGUCUAGUAGAGGCAUACUAGUGACACUCUGUUUGUCUAUGUAUUCACACAUGUAUUAUGUUUCCGGUUAAUAUAAUUCUAGCAUGAAUAAUAAACAUUUAUCAUGAUAUAAGGAAAUAAAUAAUAACUUUAUUAUUGCCUCUAGGGCAUAUUUCCUUCAGUCUCCCACUUGCACUAGAGUCAAUAAUCUAGAUUACACGGUAAUGAUUCUAACACCCAUGGAGCCUUGGUGCUGAUCAUGUUUUGCUCGUGGAAGAGGCUUAGUCAACGGGUUUGCUACAUUCAGAUCCGUAUGUAUCUUGCAAAUCUCUAUGUCUCCCACCUGGACUAGAUCCCGGAUGGAAUUGAAGCAUCUCUUGAUGUGCUUGGUUCUCUUGUGAAAUCUGGAUUCCUUUGCCAAGGCAAUUGCACCAGUAUUGUCACAAGAGAUUUUCAUUGGACCCGAUGCACUAGAUAUGACACCUAGAUCGGAUAUGAACUCCUUCAUCCAGACUCCUUCAUUUGCUGCUUCCGAAGCAGCUAUGUAUUCCGCUUCACACGUAGAUCCCGCCACGACGCUUUGUUUAGAACUGCACCAACUGACAGCUUCACCGUUUAAUGUAAAUACGUAUCCGGUUUGCGAUUUAGAAUCGUCCGGAUCAGUGUCAAAGCUCGCAUCGACGUAACCACUUACGAUUAGCUCUUUGUCACCUCCAUAAACGAGAAACAUAUCAUUGGUCCUUUUCAGGUAUUUCAGGAUGUUCUUGACCGCUGUCCAGUGAUCCACUCCUAGAUUAUUUUGGUACCUCCCUGCUAGACUUAUAGCAAGGUACACAUCAGGUCUGAUACACAGCAUUGCAUACAUGAUAGAGCCUAUGACUAAAGCAUAGGGAACAUCUUUCAUUUUCUCUCUAUCUUCUGCAGUGGUCGGGCAUUGAGUCUGACUCAACUUCACACCUUGUAACACAGGCAAGAAUCCUUUCUUUGCUUGAUCCAUUUUGAACUUCUUCAAAACUUUGUCAAGGUAUGUGCUUUGUGAAAGUCCAAUUAAGCGUCUUGAUCUAUCUCUAUAGAUCUUUAUGCCUAAUAUGUAAGCAGCUUCACCGAGGUCUUUCAUUGAAAAACUCUUAUUCAAGUAUCCCUUUAUACUAUCCAGAAAUUCUAUAUCAUUUCCAAUUAGUAAUAUGUCAUCCACAUAUAAUAUCAGAAAUGCUACAGAGCUCCCACUCACUUUCUUGUAAAUACAGACUUCUCCAAAAGUCUGUAUAAAACCAAAUGCUUUGAUCACACUAUCAAAGAGUUUAUUCCAACUCCGAGAGGCUUGCACCAGUCCAUAAAUAGAUCGCUGGAGCUUGCACGCUUUGUUAGCUCCCUUUGGAUCGACAAAACCUUAUGGUUGCAUCAUAUACAACUCUUCUUUCAGAAAUCCAUUCAGGAAUGCAGUUUUGACAUCCAUUUGCCAAAUUUCAUAAUCAUAAAAUGCGGCAAUUGCUAACAUGAUUCGGACAGACUUAAGCAUCGCUACGGGUGAGAAGGUCUCAUCGUAGUCAAUCCCUUGAACUUGUCGGAAACCUUUUGCGACAAGUCGAACUUUGUAGACAGUAAUAUUACCGUCAGCGUCAGUCUUCUUCUUGAAGAUCCAUUUAUUCUCAAUUGCUUGCCGAUCAUUGGGAAAGUCAACCAAAGUCCAUACUUUGUUCUCAUACAUGGAUCCCAUCUCAGAUUUCAUGGCUUCAAGCCAUUUUGCGGAAUCUGGGCUCACCAUCGCUUCUUCAUAGUUCGUAGGUUCAUCAUGAUCUAGUAGCAUGACUUCCAGAACAGGAUUACCGUACCACUCUGGCGCGGAUCUCACUCUGGUUGAUCUACGAGGUUCAGUAGUAUCUUGUUCUGAAGUUUCAUGAUCAUUAUUAUUAGCUUCUUCACUAAUUGGUGUAGGUGUCACAGAAACAGGUUUCUGUGAUGUACUACUUUCCAAUAAGGGAGUAGGUACAGUUACCUCGUCAAGUUCUACUUUCCUCCCACUCACUUCUUUCGAGAGAAACUUCUUCUCUAGAAAGUUUCCGAAUUUAGCAACAAAAGUCUUGCCUUCGGAUCUGUGAUAGAAGGUGUAUCCAAUAGUUUCCUUUGGAUAUCCUAUGAAGACACAUUUCUCCGAUUUGGGUUCGAGCUUAUCAGGUUGAAGCUUUUUCACAUAAGCAUCGCAGCCCCAAACUUUCAGAAAUGACAACUUUGGUUUCUUGCAAACCACAGUUCAUAAGGCGUCGUCUCAACGGAUUUUGAUGGUGCCCUAUUUAACGUGAAUGCAGCCGUCUCUAAAACGUAUCCCUAAAACGAUAGCGGUAAAUCAGUAAGAGACAUCAUAGAUCGUACCAUAUCUAGUAAAGUACGAUUACGACGUUCGGACACACCAUUACGCUGUGGUGUUCCGGGUGGCGUGAGUUGCGAAACUAUUCCACAUUGUUUCAAAUGUACACCAAACUUGUAACUCAAAUAUUCUCCACCACGAUCAGAUCGUAGGAAUUUUAUUUUCUUGUUAUGAUGAUUUUCAACUUCACUCUGAAAUUCUUUGAACUUUUCAAACGUUUCAGACUUUUGUUUCAUUAAGUAGAUAUACUCAUAUCUGCUUAAGUCAUCUGUGAAGGUGAGAAAAUAACGAUAUCCGCCACUAGCCUCAACAUUCAUCGGACCACAUACAUCUGUAUGUAUAAUUUCUAAUAAAUCUAUUGCUCUCUCCAUAGUACCGGAGAACGGUGUUUUUGUCAUCUUACCCAUAAGGCACGGUUCGCAAGUACCAAGUGAUUCAUAAUCAAGUGGUUCCAGAAGCCCAUCAGUAUGGAGUUUCUUCAUGCGCUUUAUACCGAUAUGACCUAAACGGCAGUGCCACAAAUAAGUUGCACUAUCAUUAUCAACCCUGCAUCUUUUGGUUUCAACACUAUGAAUAUGUGUGUCACUACUAUCGAGAUUUAAUAUGAAUAGACCAUUCUUUAAGGGUGCAUGACCAUAAAAGAUAUUACUCAUGUAAAUAGAACAACCAUUAUUAUUCUCUGAUUUAAAUGAAUAACCGUCUCGCAUCAAACAAGAUCCAGAUAUAAUGUUCAUGCUUAACGCUGGCACCAAAUAACAAUUAUUUAGGUCUAAUAUUAAUCCCGAAGGUAGAUGUAGAGGUAGCGUGCCGACUGCGAUCACAUCGACUUUGGAACCGUUUCCCACGCGCAUCGUCACCUCGUCCUUAGCCAAUCUUCGCUUAAUCCGUAGUCUCUGUUUCGAGUUGCAAAUAUUAGCAACAGAACCAGUAUCAAAUACCCAGGUGCUACUGCGAGCAUUAGUAAGGUACACAUCAAUAACAUGUAUAUCACAUAUACCUUUGUUCACCUUGCCAUCCUUCUUAUCUGCCAAAUACUUGAGGCAGUUCCGCUUCCAGUGACCAGUCUGCUUGCAGUAGAAGCACUCAGUUCCAGGCUUAGGUCCAGGUUUGGGUUUCUUUUCUUGAGCAGCAACUUGCUUGCUGUUCUUUUUGUAGUUCCCCUUCUUCUUCCCUUUGCCCUUUUUCUUAAAACUAGUGGUCUUGUUGACCAUCAACACUUGAUGCUCCUUCUUGAUUUCUACCUCCGCGGCUUUCAGCAUUGCGAAGAGCUCGGGAAUAGUCUUAUUCAUCCCUUGCAUAUUAUAGUUCAUCACAAAGCUCUUGUAGCUUGGUGGCAGUGAUUGGAGAAUUCUGUCAAUGACGCAAUCAUCUGGAAGAUUAACUCCCAAUUGAAUCAAGUGAUUAUUAUACCCAGACAUUUUGAGUAUAUGCUCACUGACAGAACUGUUCUCCUCCAUCUUGCAGCUAUAGAACUUAUUAGAGACUUCAUAUCUCUCAAUCCGGGCAUUUGCUUGAAAUAUUAACUUCAACUCCUGGAACAUCUCACAUGCUCCAUGACGUUCAAAACGUCGUUGAAGUCCCGAUUCUAAGCCGUAAAGCAUGGCACACUGAACUAUCGAGUAGUCAUCAGCUUUGCUCUGCCAGACGUUCAUAACAUCUGGUGUUGCUCCAGCAGCAGGCCUGGCAUCCAGCGGUGCUUCCAGGACGUAAUUCUUCUGUGCAGCAAUGAGGAUAAUCCUCAAGUUACGGACCCAGUCCGUGUAAUUGCUACCAUCAUCUUUCAACUUUGCUUUCUCAAGGAACGCAUUAAAAUUCAACAGAACAAUAGCACGGGCCAUCUAUCUACAAUCAUAAAUAAGCAAGAUACUAUCAGGUACUAAGUUCAUGAUAAAUUUAGGUUCAAUUAAUCAUAUUACUUAAGAACUCCCACUUAGAUAGACAUCCCUCUAAUCCUCUAAGUGAUUACGUGAUCCAAAUCAACUAAACCAUGUCCGAUCAUCACGUGAGAUGGAGUAGUUUCAUUGGUGAACAUCGCUAUGUUGAUCAUAUCUGCUAUAUGAUUCACGCUCGACCUUUCGGUCUCCGUGUUCCGAGGCCAUAUCUGUAUAUGCUUGGCUCGUCAAGUAUAACCUGAGUAUUCCGCGUGUGCAACUGUUUUGCACCCGUUGUAUUUGAACGUAGAGCCUAUCACACCCGAUCAUCACGUGGUGUCUCAGCACGAAGAACUUUCGCAACGGUGCAUACUCAGGGAGAACACUUCUUGAUAAUUAGUGAGAGAUCAUCUUAUAAUGCUACCGUCAAUCAAAGCAAGAUAAGAUGCAUAAAAGAUAAACAUCACAUGCAAUCAAUAUAAGUGAUAUGAUAUGGCCAUCAUCUUCUUGUACUUGUGAUCUCCAUCUCCGAAGUACCAUGAUCAUCAUCGUCACCGGCGCGACACCUUGAUCAUCAUCGUAGCAUCGUUGUCGUCUCGCCAAUCUUAUGCUUCCACGACUAUCGCUACCGUUUAGUAAUAAAGUAAAGCAUUACAGCGCAGUUGCAUUGCAUACAAUAAAGUGACAACCAUAUGGCUCCUGCCAGUUGCCGAUAACUCAGUUACAAAACAUGAUCAUCUCAUACAAUAAAAUUUAGCAUCAUGUCUUGACCAUAUCACAUCACAACAUGCCCUGCAAAAACAAGUUAGACGUCCUCUACUUUGUUGUUGCAAGUUUUACGUGGCUGCUACGGGCUUAAGCAAGAACCAAUCUUACCUACGCAUCAAAACCACAAUGAUAGUUUGUCAAGUUGAUGUUGUUUUAACCUUCGCAAGGACCGGGCGUAGCCACACUCGGUUCAACUAAAGUUGGAGAAACUGACACCCGCUAGCCACCUUUGUGCAAAGCACGUAGGGAGAACCGGUCUCGCGUAAGCGUACGCGUAAUGUCGGUCCGGGCCGCUUCGUCCAACAAUACCGCCGAACCAAAGUAUGACAUGCUGGUAAGAAGUAUGACUUAUAUCACCCACAACUCACUUGUGUUCUACUCGUGCAUAUAACAUCAACAUAUAAAACCUAGGCUCGGAUGCCACUGUUGGGGAACAUAGUAAUUUCAAAAAAAUUCCUACGCACACGCAAGAUCAUGGUGAUGCAUAGCAACGAGAGGGCAGAGUGUGAUCUACGUACCCUUGUAGAUCGACAACGGAAGCGUUAGCACAACAUGGUUGAUGUAAUCAUACGUCUUCACGGCCCGACCGAUCAAGCACCGAAACUACGGCACCUCCAAGUUCUAGCACACGUUCAGCUCGAUGACGAUCCCCGGACUUCGAUCCAGCAAAGUGUCGGGGAAGAGUUCCGUCAGCACGACGGCGUGGUGACGAUCUUGAUGUACCACUGUCGCAGGGCUUCGCCUAAGCACCGCUACAAUAUUAUCGAGGACUAUGGUGGAAGGGGGCACCGCACACGGCUAAGAAUAUGAUCACGUGGAUCAACUUAUGUGUCUAGGGGUGUUCCCUGCCUCCGUAUAUAAAGGUUCAAAGGGAGGGUGCGGCCGGCCAGGAGAGGGCGCGCCAGGAGGAGUACUACUCCCUCCGGGAGUAGGAUCCCCCCCCCCUUUUCUAGUUGGAAUAGGAUUCAGGAAGGGGGAAAGAGGAGAAAGAGAAGGAAGGGGGGCGCCGGCCCCCUCUCCUUGUCCUAUUCGGACUAGGGGGGGAGGGGCGCGCGGCCCAGCCCUGGCCACCUCUCCUCUCUUCCACUAAAGCCCACUAAGGCCCAUAUACCUCCCGGGGGGUUCCGGUAACCUCCCGGUACUCCGGUAAAAUCCCGAUUUCACCCGGAACACUUCCGAUAUCCAAAUAUAGGCUUCCAAUAUAUCAAUCUUUAUGUCUCGACCAUUUCGAGACUCCUCGUCAUGUCCGUGAUCACACCCGGGACUCCGAACAAACUUCGGUACAUCAAAAUGCAUAAACCCAUAAUAUAACUGUCAUCGAAACCUUAAGCGUGCGGACCCUACGGGUUCGAGAACAAUGUAGACAUGACUGAGACACGUCUCCGGUCAAUAACCAAUAGCGGAACCUGGAUGCUCAUAUUGGCUCCUACAUAUUCUACGAAGAUCUUUUAUCGGUCAGACCGCAUAACAACAUACGUUGUUCCCUUUGUCAUCGGUAUGUUACUUGCCCGAGAUUCGAUCAUCGGUAUCUCAAUACCUAGUUCAAUCUCGUUACCGGCAAGUCUCUUUACUCGUUCCGUAAUACAUCAUCUCACAACUAACUCAUUAGUUGCAAUGCUUGCAAGGCUUAUGUGAUGUGCAUUACCGAGAGGGCCCAGAGAUACCUCUCCAACAAUCGGAGUGACAAACCCUAAUCUCGAAAUACGCCAACCCAACAUGUACCUUUGGAGACACCUGUAGAGCACCUUUAUAAUUACCCAUUUAUGUUGUGACGUUUGGUAGCACACAAAGUGUUCCUCCGGCAAACGGGAGUUGCAUAAUCUCAUAAUCAUAGGAACAUGUAUAAGUCAUGAAGAAAGCAAUAGCAACAUACUAAAUGAUCGGGUGCUAAGCUAAUGGAAUGGGUCAUGUCAAUCAGAUCAUUCACCUAAUGAUGUGAUCCCGUUAAUCAAAUAACAACUCUUUGUCCAUGGUUAGGAAACAUAACCAUCUUUGAUUAACGAGCUAGUCUAGUAGAGACAUACUAGUGACACUCUAUUUGUCUAUGUAUUCACACAUGUAUUAUGUUUCCGGUUAAUACAAUUCUAGCAUGAAUAAUAAACAUUUAUCAUGAUAUAAGGAAAUAAAUAAUAACUUUAUUAUUGCCUCUAGGGCAUAUUUCCUUCAGUAAGUACAUCGGAUAUCCUUAUAGCUGGUAAAAAAAAAGAGGUGUUUAAAAUAUCAAAAACAGAAGAUAUUUCUCGGCAGCAAAGGAAAAAUGAUUUUAACAGUAAUAUGCAGUUCCAAUGCUAAAUAAUCUAAUCGAUACAUAAACAAAGAUGGGGAUUAGUAUGGCUGCGUUUCUGCAAUGCACUAUCUGUGGCAAUACUCACAAAAUUAUAUGUACCUCUGACCACUCUUCUAUUAGAGAGGAUUCACAGGUAUAGUGUCCUUACAUAAUUCCUUCCAUAAAAAAGUGAGAUACAAAGUAAUGCUACUGAAAGGACAAGUUGUACAGCCACUUAUUCUUGUUUUCUAGUACUUCUCAGUCCUGAGUCCUGACAUAUACUAACUCGUGAAUCUUCAAGCUAGCUACUCAAAUUCUUUCAUUGUGCAAGGUUGUGCCAUGUGUUGGGCACUACUAGAUUUUCAAGCUGUGGAGGUACGUAAGAAGAACUCCUUGGACUUGGAGGUACCACUGGACAAAUGACCAAUCUGCUGUAGCUUACUAAGUCCUGUCAUUGUCCACUUAAUAUUUUUGAGCCAUACUAGCUAAUUUCCAAGAGAGGGGAGACGUUCCCAACUUAAUUAAGCAGUAACUCAACUAAAGUGACACCAGGCUUUUUAUACAGAGGUCCUCAAUCAGAAAUGGAAGGUUGACGCCGGUGUAACCUGAAAUUUCCAAUUUCCUAACAAUACAAUGUGGCUCAAGGUGGUCAAGAACUAACUCAUCAAUAUUGUCUGGAUCAGCAGAAGAAGACCAACUGAGAGACAAAGAAUUGAGAGAUAUAAUUUCAUUCAAUUUGACAUCCUUAGCUACUUCGGGAUUCUUCUCAAGCCUGCUUACUUAUAGCGUGCGGAGAAUUUUUAAGCUCUUGACUGCACUUAAUUUGCUACCUAUGCUUUCUUCUACCCGGUAGUUAUUUAACUCCUCAAGAAGAGUGAGUAUCACAGCAGAGAAUUCACCAAGUCCUCGUUGGUUUUGAGGAAGAGACAUAUUAGAAUAUCCAUACGAUACAUAUCGCAAGCGAUCAAGGAUCCCGAAAUAUAGCAUUCUGCCGAAGAAUGUCCCCUUCCCAAGAACCAAUAGUGUUGCGGUAAAAUAGCAUCAAAGUGAUAUAGUUUAGUAACCGCGCACAUCCCCUCUGGUGAUAUUUUUUGCAGCUUAAGAUAGCGAAGGUGUUUCAAUUUGCCACAUUUGACAGUGUGUUCUACUAUAUGACACAGUCUUGAACAGAAGAGACGCAAAAACUUCGAGGUUUCAACAACUCUUUCAAGUGCACAAACUACAUUGUGAGUCUCAUACAUACUUUCAUCAAUGAUAAUAGUAUGCAGAUACUUAUAUUUAGAUAUUUUCCUGAUAGUAGCUCUCAAUAUUAGCAUACUUAUAUCAAUGAUAAUAGUACGCUCUCGGUCGCCACCACGUGACGCACUUUGGGCGCUCCCUUCGGAUUUUAUUUUUAUUUUUUCACACACGUUUCCGGCUUUUUAGAUGGUUUUUCCUGGGUUUUUUUUUUUCUGUUUUUCGGUUUUUCACUGGUCUUUCUUAGCUUUUUAACGAAAAAUAUGCGUGAAAAAACACGUUUUCUUUUUCUGCUUCCGCAAGACGCACGGCCAUGCCUCUAGAAAACAGAUAAAAAAUGUGUUUUCUUUUUUUUUCUUUCGUGAGAGACACGGUUUUGCUACCGCAGGAGAUACGGCCGUGCCUCUCGAAAACGGGGAAACAAAUAUGUGUUCUCUUUUUUUCCUUCCGUGGAAGGCACGAUUUUGCUUCAGCAAGAGGCACGAUUUUGCUUUGGCGAGAGGCACGGCUGUGCCACUCGGAAAUGAAAAAAAUAACGUGUUUUAUCUUCUUUUUUUCUUUCACGAGAGGCAUGGUUUUGCUUUCGCGAGAGGCAUGGCCAUGCCUCCCGAAAACGAAAAAAACACGAUUUUCUCUUUUUUCUUUUUCUUCUGUGGGAGGCACAGUUUUGCUUUCGCGAGAGGCACGCUCAGAAACGGCUUUCGGAAAGGAAAAAAUGUGCCCCCCGUUCCGUUUUUUCGUCUAGUUUUCUUGUAAGGUUUUUUUCUAAAGAAAAUAGUUCAUCAAAACCUUCAACAUGGGGCCUAGUUUUAAAGAUCUCGACGCAAGAAAUCCAAUGAUGAAAAUAGUUCAAGAUUUGGUCGCACGGUUUAAGAGGUAAAAUAUUUUAAAUAGACGGAUCUACGCAAAAAAAAGGAAAAAAAAUUGAUCGCACAAAAGUCCUGUCAUUGUCAACUUAAUAUUUUUUUGAGCCAUACUAGCUAAUUUCCAAGUGAGAGGAGACGUUCCCAACUUAAUUCAGCAGUACCUCAACUCAAGUGGCACCAGGUUUUUUAUACAGAGGUCCUCAAUCCAAAAUGGAAGUUUGACGCCGGUGUAACCUGAAAUUUCCAAUUUCCUGACAUUACAAUGUGGCUCAAGGUGGUCAAGAACUAACUCAUCAAUAUUGUCUGGAUCAGCAGAAGAAGAUCAACUGAGAGACAAAGAAGUGAGAGAAAUAAUUCCAUUCAAUUUGACAUCCUUAGCUACUUCGGGAUUCUUCUCAAGCCUGCUUACUUGUAGCAUGCGGGGAAUUUUUAAGAGAAUCUCUAGCAGCCCCAUAUAAUGCCGACCCGCAAAAUGCGUUUAUAGUUUACUGCAGAUGAAAUUUGCGAGUCGAAUUCAUGCGCUGCAGAUCAAACCCGUACAUGAAACUGUAAAAUUUAAAAAAGCAUCCACGGGACAAACUUGCAACGACAUUGAUCAUACAUUACUUCAUCUACAUAUUACAUUGGUCAUACAUAGUUCAUCUACAUUGAUCAUACUAGUGAGGGAAUCUGCAGGCCCGAGCCUAGGUACCAAAAACGACGAGCUCGUGUCGGAGGAGUCGAGGUCGAUGAAGAACUUGGCCUGCUCCGCCUUCGUGACACGCAGGUCUGCCUCCUUAGACGUGCGCGCCUGCAACGCCGCGACGCCCGUCUUGAGGAACAUCUGCUCAUACUCGAGCUCACGGCAACGGUGCGCUUCGGCCUCCUCCUGCUCCCUCGCUGACCUCUCCAUGACGAUGCGCUCUAGGUGCUCCUCCUNNNNNNNNNNNNNNNNNNNNNNNNNNNNNNNNNNNNNNNNNNNNNNNNNNNNNNNNNNNNNNNNNNNNNNNNNNNNNNNNNNNNNNNNNNNNNNNNNNNNNNNNNNNNNNNNNNNNNNNNNNNNNNNNNNNNNNNNNNNNNNNNNNNNNNNNNNNNNNNNNNNNNNNNNNNNNNNNNNNNNNNNNNNNNNNNNNNNNNNNNNNNNNNNNNNNNNNNNNNNNNNNNNNNNNNNNNNNNNNNNNNNNNNNNNNNNNNNNNNNNNNNNNNNNNNNNNNNNNNNNNNNNNNNNNNNNNNNNNNNNNNNNNNNNNNCUCGAGCUUGGCAGCGAGCAGCCCGAACUCCUCCGGCUCUCUCUUCACCAAAGUGAGCCGCGAGCUCGAGGCGCCCGCGGAUGAGCUCCCCGCGGCAGAGGGGCCGAAUGAGGCGUGGCGGCGGCGGGCGAGAUCACGCUCGUGCUCGACCAGCUCGCGACCUUUGAACUCCGGCGGCGGCCGGCUCCCACAGUUGAGCCACCUCCGCGCCCCCCGCUUGCAUGCAACGUCGGAUUUGGCGCGGCGGUGGCGCUCCGCAUUAUCCCAGAGCUCCCGUAGCCAUCCAUGGCUUUUUCAGGCGCGGCGGCGGUGAGAAAUUGGGCGGAGAAGGAGGGGAAUCGCGGCGGAGCGGCAGCAGAGGUGGAUAGGGUUUGACCAGUAUCCGAGCAGUGAAACCGCAUAUAUAGCGGUGGGGGAGAGUUUUUGUGGGCCACGGUAAAAAAUUACAGGCCAGGCCAUGGAUACGAUGUCUAUUAUGGCUAGAAAAAUGGGUCAAAUCCGUAUACUCACCGGAAUUAUACGAAUUCGGCCCUUUUACGGGGUCUGCUAGAGAUGCUCUAAGCUCUUGACUGCAUUUAGUUUGUUACCUAUGCUUUCUUCUACCCGGUAGUUAUUUAACUCCUGAAGACGAGUGAGUAUGACAGCAGAGAAUUCACCAAGUCCUCAUUGGUUUUGAGGAAGAGACAUAUUAGAAUAUCCAUACGAUACAUAUCGCAAGCGAUCAAGGAUCCCGAAAUAUAACAUUCUGCCGAAGAAUGUCCCCUUCCCAAGAACCAAUAGUGUUGCAGUAAAAUAGCAUCAAGUGAUAUAGUUCAGUAACCGCGCACAUCCCCUCUGGGUGAUAUUUUUUGCAGCUUGAGAUAGUGAAGGUGUUUCAAUUUGCCACAUUUGACAGUGUGUUCUACUAUAUGACACAGUCUUGAACAGAAGAGACGCAAAAACUUCGAGGUUUCAACAACUCUUUCAAGUACACAAACUACAUUGUGAGUCUCAUACAUACUUUCAUCAAUGAUAAUAGUAUGCAGAUACUUAUAUUUCGAUAUUUUCCUGACAGUAGCUGUCAAUAUUGGCAUACUUAUAUCAAUGAUAAUAGUACGCUCUCAGCCGUCGCCGUGUGACGCACUCUGGGCGCUCCCUCCCGUUUUUUUUAUUUAUUUUUUUCGCACACGUUUUUGGCUUUUUCGAUGGGGUUUCCCGGUUUUUUUAUGUUUUUUGGUUUUCCACCUGUCUUCCUUACGUUUUUGACAAAAAAACGCGUGAAAAAACGUGUUUUUUUUCUUCCGCGAGAGGCAUGGCCAUGCCUCUAGAAAAUAGAUAAAAAAUGUGUUUUCUUUUUUUUCUUUCAUGAGAGUCACAGUUUUGCUAUCACGAGAGAUACGGCCGUGCCUCAAGAAAACAGAAAAAAAAAUAUGUUUUAUCUUUUUUCCCUUUCGUGGGAGACACGGUUUUGUUUCAGUAGGAGCCACGGUUUUGCUUCGGCGACAGCCACGACCGUGCCACUCGUAAAUGAAAAAGAAAAACGUGUUUUCUCUUCUUCUUUUUUCCUUCCGUGAGAGGCACGAUUUUGCUUCAGCGAUAGGCACGGCCGUGUCUCUCGGAACCAAAAAAAACAUGAUUUUCUCUUUUUCUUUUCCUUUUGUGGGAGGCACGGUUUUGCUUCCGCGAGAGGCACACUCGAAAACGGCUUUCUGAAAGGGAAAAAAUGUGCUCCCGGUUUGGUUUCUUCGUCCGGUUUUUUUGUAUGGUUUUUUUCCUAAAGAAAAUAGUUCACCAAAACCUUGAACAUGGGGUUUAGUUUUGAAGAUCUUGACACAAGGAAUCCAACAAUGUAAAAAGUUCGAGAUUUGACCGCAUGGUUUAAGAGAUAAAAUAUUUUACAUAAACGAAUCUACAAAAAAAAACACACAAGUUAUGACAAGUGGCGCACAUGCAACGUGCAACUUGUCACAACCUGAAAGGGUGAAAGUGAUCUUUGGAAGGAGUGCUCCUCAAAUGGCGGCGAGCCUAUAUCUCGCAUACAGCGAAGACAUAUGGCUGCCACCUGAAGCGAGCGCUAGAUGGCCUAGCCCAGCGAACGGAGGCCACAGGCCUCAAAAGCGCUUGUUUUUUCAUAGUUUCUUUUUCAUUUUUUCUUAUUUGAUUUCUUUUUUACUUUUUGUUAUGUAAAUAUUUGGCAUAUUUUCUAAAAUAAUGUUAAUCAAGCAUUUGAAAAUGCCAAAUGUGUAUAUAUAGAAUGUUUCUGAUGUAUACACAAAUGUAAAAUGCGUAUGGAAUAAAGUAAACAUAAAAAAUAUAAGUUUUCAAAAAAAAAUUCAUGUACUUGAAAAAUGUUCAUUUAUAUGAAAAAAUUGAUGUAUACAAAAAAUAUAGAAUUCGUAUGGGCAGUAGAUAGCAAAACAUUAUAUGCUUUUAAAAAUGUUAAUCAUGUAUUUCGAAAAUGCUAAACAUGUGUACGUAAAAUGGUAAACAUGUACAUAAAAAUGUAUCAGAUAUAUAAGAAAAAUGUAGGAUGUGUACGAAAAAAAUAGACAUAAGAACAUAUAUUUGAAAAAAUAUUAUUCAUAUAUUUGAAAAACUUUAAACAUCUGUUAAAAAUGCUUUAGAUGUAUACCAAAAAAGCAUAGUGUGUAUACAAACAAUAGACAUUGAAACAUUUUUUUUAAAAAAAUUUAACCAUGUAUUUAGACAGUAAACAUUUAAUAAAAAAUGUCCAUGGCGUAUAUGAAAAAAUUUAGAAAGAAAACCAAAAAGGAAAUAAAGAAAAACGAACAAAACCAAUAAAAACCAAAAAGGAAACAAAGAAAAUCAAAGAAAAAUGAAACAAAGAAUAAAACCACUGAAACAAGUUGCAAAAAAUAGAAAACAAUGAAAACUGAGAAAAUGAAAACAAAGAAAUAAACAAAGAAACUUGAAGAGAAAGAAAAGAAAUAUCAAUGAAAACCAAGAAAGAAACCAAAGAAAAACAAAGGAAACAAAAAGUAAGUAUGAUGACAAAAAAGAAAAACCAAAGAAAACUGAUGAAGGAAUAAGAAAACCAAAUAAAUCAAACUCAUCAGCGCACAGACUGACGAACAAACAACCAAGUAACACGCUAUUCGGAUGGCUCAUGCGCGGGCGCGCUGCGGGGAAGCUUCAGCCAAUUGGAGCUAUCAGCUCGCUAUAAGCGAGAUAUAGCUCCCGCAGCGACCAGUGGGCUACACGUUGGUUUCCCAGUUCCUCGAUCAAUCAGUGUUCUUCGCCUAAAGAAACAUCACACUCGACUAAUUGACAAGUCAUGCAAUGAGGCUAGAUCAGGUUGCAGGGAGGUAGCCGGCACGCAGGACGCAGCCACACACACACACGGCAAAGCGUGGGGAAACUGAGAUAUUAAUCAGUUUGCGAAUAGGGCUCCUUUCUUUUGUUAUUUUCAUUCAUUUCAUCUUUGUUGUACAUGUGCAUUGGUUUACUAAUUUUGGUAUUGUCAUCUCUUGUUUGCGUUCAAAUUGUUUUGGGACGGUAGUUGCCUAGUUGCUCAAGCUGUCACAUAUCCAAGAUUUUCAAGAUAGUUGCUUUUUCAAAAUAAAUGUAGAGUCUUUUAGCAUUUAUAUUUGAUACACUUCUAACUAUUGUACCGAACAACACAUAUUAAAGUUAUAUAAUUCCCUCGAGAAAAAAGUUAUAUUUUUUUAAAACACAGUACAAAUAUAGAUGCUCACGUACACGCAAAUACACUUGGCAAAUUUAUGAAUACAGUGCCAAGUCUUGAACUUGAAUCAUGGUGGACGGGAGAUUGAGGAGGAAGCAUGCCGAGGAUAAAUGGACCGUAUAGAUUUCAGCUUACGAAAAGAAAGAUUUUGUUCAUAUUUCAUUCUUCACAAGUAGAUGGACGUUAUACACAGUUACACACUAGAUGGACCAUACAAGUAUGCACAGGUAAAUUGUUCAUAAUGAUUAAUCUAAUGGUUCUUCAAAAUACUACGAAACACCAGAAUUGUAUUCACAAUAGACACUAGCUACUACGUUUCAUCUAAGCAAAUAGAAAGAAAAAAGAAGAAUAACCGUCUUAUUGUUCUCAAUGUUCAUACCAUUGGCUUAGGUUGUACGUAGCACAAAAUCAAGCAAGUAGAAAAUUACAAAAGUUCCCACUCACAAUUGAACAAAACCGAGCACAAAAAGGCCCCCUUCACUAGGCCUAGACACUACCCAAACUAUCAACUAGAAAUAGUGAUCCAACCCAAGAAGAGAACUCCACCGUCAACUGUCAUCGAACAUCAGACGCAAGUGUACAGCUGGCAACUUAACAUCUCGCCAAAAGUUGGCGACUGAAAAACAAAAUCAGGUUCAGAAGCAAUACAAAACGAGAAACACAUAUGCAAUCGUACGCCUGAAGCAGGUGCCAGCCCUGUUUCGGAACCAUGCGCAUCCCUUGAGACCUGCUUGAACCACUUUCCUCUCCACACGAGUAGAUUUUUGGUUCACUGAUUUCAAUGCAACAAUGACUGGUUUCAGAACCGUGAAAGUAUCUGGCCGGUUUCAGAUCAACGAUACUAUCCGCUACGCCGGUCUUGUGGCAGGUUCUUUCCCUAUGUCUCUUAUUCCUGCACAUCGUCAACGGCAUAUACCGUUCCGGUUUUGAGUCUGUUCUUUCUUAUUCUUGUGUAGAUUGAUGUCACCUUUCGCUAUACUAAAAACGAAGAGAUUCUACUACCGAAGUGCAAAAUAUGGAAAAAUGAAUUGGUGGAGUUUGUUGCUUGCUUUGAGGAAGAUGGUUUGUUUAUAUAGAAAGUAAAAGCUGUAUCUACGUACAAAUGAAGUUUACGUUGGUGGCCCAUUUAUUUGUUGUAACUUUAUUAUCCAACGUUGAAUGACUUGGAACACAUUUGGUUGCCUCCACGGUGCUCAUUGAGUGGCACACGCUAAUUUGCUUGUUUUGAAAAGGAAAAGUGGGCAUGUUUAUAGGAUUGUGGUUGUUUACUUCAAAAUACUCUGGAUAUUAUUAUUUUUUGCAGGGUAAAUACUCUUGAUAUGUUUAAUUCUAUUGGUAACACGUACAUACACAGGGGAUACACAAGGAGACCAUGUGAAUUUAUAUAUUUUUUAAAAGGAGGAUAACCCUCGGCCUCUGCAUCAGGACGAUGCAUGCAGCCAUAUAUUAUUAAUAGUGCAAAAUCCAGCAGCUGAACGCCAUUGACCCGGAAAUAAAGCGAAAAACAAACCCUGGGGCCUUAUAUCUUGCGACAGUACCUCGCCCAGAUAGCCACUAAUCCCUAUGAUACAAGACACGUCACAAACAAAAAAUAUACUCCUAGGUUGCGCCUUCAAGAAGGGAUCGCCGCACGUGCACCGAUGAUGGCGAGUCCACCACAAGAUUGAACUACGGAUUCUCAUCCCCAAAGCCAAGCUUCAAUCCACUAUGUUCAGCAAGGACACGACACAGGCGCGCGACGACAUAGUCUGAUCAGAGACUCGUCGUUGAAGCCGUCUGUACCAUCCGUCCUUAUCUGUCUACUGACACCUCGAUAGCCGAAAACCUCUUGAGGAGACAACGGAAGACAAAGACGUCCCAUACCGCCUACCUCCCGCUACUGUCGCACCACCUUGGAUCUGACAGGAACUGGCUAAACAUGACACCUCCAUCAGAGCCACCGUGCAUCACCUGCCAGUAGUAGGCAUGACUUGACGUCUCCAUAUAAGACGCCAUGCGUAGCAUCGGCCGGUAGCACAUCCACCGGUGGCUUCAACUGCCGCUGACAGGCACCGCCCGACAACUCCGAAAGAGGCACAUGUGUAACCCGACGAGCCGCAUUGAACCCGGUCUGUUGAUGGAAGGGACGUCCCAUGCCGCCACCAGCCUCAGAAGGCCCCACCUUGAGAUCCAGACUCUGAAUCGCCCACACAAUCCCGAAGUCCGCCGCCGUUGAUGAAAAGGGUCCGCCACCCCGAUUACGGGCUCUACAGGGAGCACCCACCAUCGCGCCAGCGGUUGUCGUUGCCCAUACAACAACAACCGCCGCCGCGGUCCCGCAUCAAGCGCCGUCGAUGCCGGAGGAAGCUUCGACCUCCACUCGCAUCCUGCGACGUCCCCGGGUGCAGGAUCCCAAGAUCCGCCCCCACAAGAACCUACCAUCUGGCCCGUCAUCCCCGGCGGAGGGGACACCGCCACCGCCAUGUUUGGAUUCGGGCCGGAGUCGCCACCGCCUCUGCCAAGACCGGAUCCAGGCCGGCCGCCACUGCCGCCACCACCGGCCACGCACAAACACCUCCAGCAGGAGCCACUGCGCCGUCAUGGAUCUCGGAACAGGCCGCACCUCCACGGAUCUAACGCCCUCGCCGCCUUACAGCCCGAGAAGGAGGAGCGGCCUCCGCCGCUGCCGUCAAACGCACAAAAGAGAAACCGAAUGCGGGUCUAUCUAGAGGAUCCAGAAUCACAAGGUUUGGAUUAGAUCCGAACUCCAAAAGGCACCUGAGAACCAAAGUAUUUUUCUCCUGAACAAAAAAUGCCUUUCAACAAUUACAGAAGUUCAAGGGGUCCCCACUCACAAUUACACAGAACUAGCAAAAAAGGCCCUUCAACUAGAUCUAGAUAUUACCCCAACUGGAGUAUCAGCUAUAAACACUAUUGAUCCAACCAAAGAAGAGAACUCUACCGUUAGCAGUUGCCUGACAUCAGCCGCAAGCCUACUUCAAAAUGAGAAACACACAUGCAAUCCAAAAUGAGAACAUCAGCCGCAACUGAGCAUCUCCCCAGAGGUUCACGCGACGAGAAACAGAAGAAAGUAGUCCAAAAUGAGAAACACACAUGCAAUCCUACGCUGAAGUAAGUGCCAUCCCUGUGCGGAACCAUACACCUCCCUUAAUAACACAUGCUCGAAUGGUUGUGUUCCCCACGGCAAUAGAUUAUUCUGUCACUAAUUUCUAUGCAACAACAUGCUUGAGAACCACGAAAGUAUCUGGCUGGUUUCAGAACUGAGAGUAUAUACUUCCCCAUGUCUCUUAUUCCUGCGCAUUGUCUACAGCAUACACCGUUUUGGUUUUCAGACUAUUCUUUCAUAUGCUUGUGUGGAUUUCCGUCACCAAUCACUAUACCAAAAUACUGAAAAUGAGGAGUUUGUACUGCCGGGGUGUCAAAUAUGGAUAAAUGAGAUGGUGGGUUUUGUUGUUUGCUUUGAGAAAGAUGGGUUGUCGAUAUAGAAAGGGAAAGCACUAUCUAUUUGGUUGCACGAGGGCUCAUUGAGCGGCACACCCUAGUUUGCCUGUUUUGAUUAGGAAAAAUAGGCAUGUUUAUAGGGUUGUAGAAGUUGUCUAUUGGUAACACUUACAUACACAGGGGAUACAGAAGGAGACCAUGUGAAUUUAUAUGACCGACUAGAAGAGCAUGGUAACCAUUCAAUGUUGUAAUUGUGAGCUUGGGCUCACAUGAAUACUGCUAAAAUAUCCCGUGCUUCCUAAAUACUCGACUGAAUGUUGGUCCAUGGCCUUACGCGCAAUUGUUACAAGUUUGAAGUUCCAAGUGUGUUUGAUAAUCCAAGAAGCAUGCACUAACUUACAUUACCCUCACUGGAGAAGAGUCAUUUGUAGGCCAAGAAGCACAUGUCUCCUCCAUAAAGAGGAACCAAACACGGGUCCAUCUAGAGAAUCCAGAAUCACAUGGUUUGGAUCAGAUUCCAACUCCAAAAGGCGCCUGCGAACCAAAGUAUUUUUCUUCUAAAUGAACAAUGGCUUUCAACAAUUACAGAAGUUCAAGGAGUACCCACUCACAAUUAAACAAAACUAGCCAAAAAAAUGGUGCUUCAACUAGAUCUAGACACUACCGCAACUGGAGUAUUAGCUAGAAACAUCAUGGAUCCAACCAAAGAGAACUACACAGUUAGCAGUUGUCAAACAUCAGCCGCAAGCCAACUUCCAGCAACUUAGCAUCUUCCAGAAGUCCAUGAGAUGAGAAAGAAAAGCACUUUCGAAAGCAGUCCAAAAUGAGAAAAUGAGCAGGUGCCAGCCGUGUGCAAAACCAUACACCCCCCUUAACAGCUUCUCAAACGGCCUGUUUGAGAACCACGAACGUAUCUGGCAUGUUUCAGAACAGGCAAAGUAUCCACUACCCUGGUAUACAGACCUCGUGGUUGGUUUCCCCAUGUCUCUUUCUCUUACUCCUGCGCAUCGUCAAUGGGCAUAUACCGUUUCGAAUUUCAAUCUAUUCUUUCUUAUGCUUUUGUGGAUCGCCAUCACCAUUCACUAUAACAAAAUACUAGAAAUGAAGAGUUUGUACUGCCGAAAUGUAAAAUAUGGAUAAAUGAGGUGGAGUUUGUUGUUUGCUUUGACCAAGAUCGGUUGUCUAUAUAGUAAACGAAAGCACUAUCUAUGCAGUACAAAUGAAGGUUGGUGGUCCAUUUAUGUGCCACAACUUUAUUGUCCGUGUUGAAUGACUUAGGACACAUUUGGUUGCACGGGUGAAUUUAUAUGACCGGCAAGGAUAGCUGAGAAUCCAAUGUCGUAAUGGUGAGCUCGAUCGUGCUCACAUGAACACUGCUAAAAUGUACAUAUGUCCGGUGCUUCCUAAAUACUCGAGUGAAUGUUGGUCUCUGGCCUUAUGCACAAUCGUUGUCAUUUUGAAGUUCCAAGGGUGUUUGAUGGCCCAAGGAGGAUGCAUCAUUUGUAGGGCAAGAAACGCAUGUCUCCUCCACAGAAAGAAACCGAACGCGGGUCUAUCUGUCAGCAGAAUCCAGAAUCGCAAGGUUUGGAUCAGAUCCCAACUCCAAAAGGCACCUGGGAACCAAAGUAUAUUUUUGCUGAACAAGAUUGCACGCCAAAGUAUCAAACCAAAGACCUGAGCCAAAGCUAUGCUUUGCUUUCUCCCUUGAAGGUCGCCAAAGUUUCCAAGCCUGUGCAUUCAGGUUAUAAGAAUCACAACCUCAAUGGCAAGCUGCAUACCGAAAACCUCAAACCAACAUCAAAAAUGGCAAUGGGAGGAGGAUCGCAUUUGCAGGGACACCGGGCGCCGAGGCUGUUCGGCAGGGAAAGGCCGGUCCAUGCCGCCCUGGGUGGACGCGAAGGUGGCUAGCAAACUACUUACAUUCUUGCAGAGAUACGAGCCUAAGUUUUCUGAUUUCUGAACUGAUCAUGUGUGUGUUGCGUUGCAGCGGCGGACAUCAUCCUGUGGAGGAGGCCGAAGGUGUCGGCGUCGAUCCUCGGCGCGGCGACGGCGGCGUGGGGUCUGUUCGAGGUGGCGGAGUACCACUUCCUGACGCUGGCGUGCUACGCCGCCAUGAUUACCAUGCUCACCUUCUUCAUCUGGACCAACGCCUCCGCUUUCCUGAACCUGUACUGCACCAAACCCCAUUUCUUCAGUCCCACGGUUUUGUUUCAGAAUUAGCUUCAGGGCUGAAUUGUGAACUGCACACAGGCCGGUUCCAAGGAUCCCUGAGACAAUCCUGUCGGAGAGGACGGCGAAGCAGGUGAUCCUGGCCCUGCACAGGCGGCUCACCUGGUUCGUGCACCGGCUGUACGCCAUCGCCUGCGGGGAGGACAUCAAGAAGUUCAUCAUGGUAACCAACCCACCUCACAACAAUCCUGAUCUGAUCUAUGCCACAACUCUGAAGCCUGAUAAACUCAUACACACGCUACUGCAGACGGUGGUGUCUCUGUACAUCGCGUCGGUCGUCGCGACCUGCUUCAGCUCCCUCACCCUGCUCUACCUCGGUAAGCAACUGCCAACACCUUCAGUAGCAGAAACUCCCCAUUCUUCAGAAUCCAAUGUACUGAGCUAGCAACGAUGAUACCAUCUUUGUUUUGGCAGUUGUGUUCUUCACGAUGACGGUGCCGGCGCUGUACGAGCGGUACGAGCACGAGGUGGAGCACCUGGUGGCCACGGGGGCGCGCGACGUCCGUACCCACUUGGCCAAGGUGGACUCCGGCGUGCUCCGGAAGAUCCCCAGAGGCAAAGGCGCCACCACCGCCGCACACGGGACGACGGCCAACAACGUGCACGGGUGGCAUCGCUCGCACGUCAACUAAACCUACCCAGCCAACAACAUGCUACUACUAACCAACCUUUACAGAGAUCGAGCGAGCUGCGGACAGAUGUAAAUAUAAGUUCAGAAUAAGACCUGAACGAACCCAGCUAACUACAUGCUCAUCAAUCAGCACACUGUGCAGAGAGGGAGCUGCAGACAGAUGUAAAUUUAUAAGGUUCAGAACAAGACCUGAACGAACCAACAUAUGUUCAUCAAUCUGUACAGUACAUUACAGAGAGCGAGCCUGCAGAGAGAUGUGGAUUUAGGUUCAGAAUAAGACCUGAAUGUAAAGUGUUUCACUCCUACAUGAUCAUGCGUGCAUGCAUGCAUCCAAUCCGCCCGUGCGACCAGUGGUGUGGCGAUCCUGUAAAUCUCUCUACCAACGCAUGCGUGCGCUUUACGGUGGUGCGAUAUCUUCUUUCCAUCCUCCCCUGCUUCCUCCUUUCCGCUUUCCCGUGUACGCGUACCAGUGUAUGUAUCUGUUACGUGAUGGGUCGACCGCCAUGGAAAGGAAGGAAGAACACAAGGGCUCCACCAUUGAUGCAUGGUGGAUGGAGGAGGGCAGACAGCGACACGCACGCACCUGGCAAAGCCAUCGGCAUCGGACGGGUAGAGAUUAUAUUCCCUGGAGCUGAGGCAAUCAACAGUCGCCCGCGCCGUGUCUCCGCCCGGAUCGAAGACGAUCCGCUCCGAUCUCCCGAGGAUCGGAUCGGACGCCCCCUCGCGGCUAAAUUUCGUGUUUUGACCCUUUUCUAAUAUCUUUUCGAGAUCUGAUUCUAGUCUGACUAGUAAUCAUGCACGUCUCGAUCGUAAAACAUGUGAAUUCACAUAAUAUAAAAAAAUAAACGUUUUUAAAAUUAUAAAUCAAAUGGAUACAUAAUGUUUGAUAUCGCUCAAAUUGUAUUUUCAAAAGCGAGACACAAUAGUGGUUAUGUUGCUGCAUAGAGUAAUAAAAAUAUUCUCAUUUAAAUAAAAUCAGCAAUUAUUUAUUAAUGCAAUAAUAUAGGCAUGUAGUAUAGUCUUCUCUUCGAGUGUAGCCAGGGAAAAAAGUAUAAACUGCCUUACAGUGCAAUUAUAUUGUUCAAGAUGCUUAAUUCUCGAAUCUUAUUUUAUUCUACUAAUCUGCAUAGCAAAAUAUAUAUUUGUACUAAUUUGGAUCAAAUUAUAUAUAUUUUUUGGUUGUGUGGACUGCCAAAAUUAUAUAGCUACCUACUAUGGAUAAUAGGAAAUAGAAGAUGAUAUGUGUACAACGACUUCUAUAUAAAAUAAAGAUGAUUUACAAGAACUAAUUGAAAUGUAAAGGGGCUAAAAGAAAAUCCAAUGAUUAUCAUGAUAGAAAAAAUUUAUCCGGUUUUGUAUGUGUUUAUGCGUUGGCAACCAUACUAACUUACAAUGAUGUAAGACGUUUUGUACGUAUAGAAACUGAAAUGAGUUAUGAAGAAAAAUAAAGAUGGAAGGAAAAGUAUUCUAAAGUAUUUGUCAAGCUUAACCUUAUCAAGCUUUCAGGUCAGCUUCUAAAUUACAAAAAAAUGAUGAAUCCUCAAAUAAGAAAGAGCCAACAAUUUGGAACAUGCUACAAAACUGGUGAAUAUAGAAAGCAUUCAUCCUCUUUUUCCUUGUCGUAAGGAGUAGCUUCAGCAUACAUUUGUAACAGUGUAAUACCUGAUUCGGAAAAAGUUUUUCAUUAUUAUUAUUGAAGGAAAGAGGCGUGCAGACAAAGAAAGAGAGGCGGUGCAAAUAAGGCCUUAAACAGCAUGUCUUCGAGUUUGAUGACUGCAGAUAUGUUGGAUCAUUCGAAACUGCACAAGUAUAUAAGAAUAAAUAUAUGUGCCAAAAUAGCGAAAAAUAUUUGGUUUCUCUGUCAUGAAACAAAAUAAAUCCAACUAAGUACAGUUUAUAUGAUUUCUCUGUACCAAUAUACGGUAGCUGUAUUAGGACAGAUCCUUUGAAGGAUCUAUUUAUUGGAACUCAGCCGGAUUAGUUUCUUCAUUGGAUCCUUCUGUAUGGUAAAAUUCUCUUUAUUGAAACGCAGUAGAGAUUGCAUACCUUUACAGAACAGCGAGAGAUAUUCUCUAACAACAGUUACGGAGUCAUGUGACCCGUUUUAGAUGUAUAGAAUCAUGUAACUGAAAUAGUAGUACAUCUUCAAUAUCUUGCCUCCUACUGAAUCUUACAUAAUUUACUGGAUUGCUAUGCAAUUAUGUUAAAGUGACGUGUGUAAAGUUUUCUCUAAGAAUGAAUCAUAUAUUCUGAUUUCCAACCUAUCCCUGGAGAUAGUGCAUAGGCAGGUGCAACCCACCUUAAUUUCAGAUAAAGCAACGUCAUAUGUAAAACACACACUGAUCAAAUAGCACAAAUAAGGCAAUUCUAAUCAAGGGGAUGGCGUUAUCUCUUGAUACGGUCCAGUUUAAUGCAUAUGGUGGUACGAAGUAAAGCACAACGAAGCCGACAUGAACAUGAGAAGUAAUCAUGGAAAAUAGACUCUGUAUCUUGACUUCUUCAGUAUCCCUCUUGAUCCUACUUUGUAAGACAAGAUUGCUGCAUUUUUAUGUACGUGCCAUAUAUAAUUACACAUUUUCAGUACAGCAAUCGGCAACCUAAGAUAAUCCCAAAUCUAUAAUUCUAGAUUGCUUGAAGCCACACGAUUCUUAUUCAAUAUGUAAUGCACAUGCACCCACUGAACAGACACUUUGUCGGCGUGGGUGCUGUGAACGGAGCUGAAGUCAACGCGGAUGCCGAUGGUUGCCGGAGAGCAUGCCCUGGACUUGGAUGGAGUCGUCGCAGUAGCGGCAGAAGAGCGCCUGGCCUCCAGCCAGAAGACGAUGGCGGCGAUAGCACGUGUGUUCCCGGAGGAAGACGAAGCUCCUCGCGCUUCCCCCAUCGUGGCUAGCGUGCAUGAUGGCGGCAGGCGGCUCGCGAUUAGCUUUCUAAUAGGAUGGAUGCGUCCGAUAUAAGUUUUUUAAUAGGAUGGAUUUUUCUGAAAUUAGUUUCCUAAUAGGAUGGAUGCACUCUGAUUUAGUUUCCUAGAAUAUGAUGCACUCGUGAUUAUUAGUUUCUUAAUUGCUCAGGCGUGGAGUUUCAUAUUUUCCUCCACGGUGGAGUACGGUCAGUCAAUGUAAAUUGCUAAGUGCACACAGAAAAUGGUUUAGGUUAAGGCUAAUCGUUAGAUUGAUUUUAGUGGGCCUAAUCGUGCGGUGGUAUUGAAUCUGUGUAUGCUUUGUGAGGUGUACUUAAAUAAAUUUUUGUUUGAUUGUUUAAUAGUAGUAUAGAUAAGACAAGAUUGCUGCAUUCUUAUGUACGUGCCAUAUAUAAUUACACAUUUUCAGUACAGCAAGCGGCAACCUCAGAUAAUCCCAAAUCUAUAAUUCUAGAUUGCUUGAAGUCCCACGAUUCUUAUUUAAUAUGUAAUGCACAUGCACCCACUGAACAGACACUUUGUCGGCGUGGGUGCUGCGAACGGAGCUGAAGUCAACGCGGAUGCCGAUGGUUGCCGGAGAGCAUGCCCUGGACGUGGAUGGAGUCGUCGCAGUAGCGGCAGAAGAGCGCCUGGCCUCCAGGCAGAAGACGAUGGCGGCGAUAGCACGUGUGUUCCCGGAGGAAGACGAAGCUCCUCGCGCUUCCCCCAUCGUGGCUAGCGUGUAUGAUGGCGGCAGGCGGCUCGCGAUUAGCUUUCUAAUAGGAUGGAUGCGUCCGAUAUAAGUUUUUUAAUAGGAUGGAUUUGUCUGAGAUUAGUUUCCUAAUAGGAUGGAUGCACUCUGAUUUAGUUUCCUAGAAUAUGAUGCACUCGUGAUUAUUAGUUUCUUAAUUGCUCAGGCGUGGAGUUUCAUAUUUUCCUCCACGGUGGAGUACGGUCAGUCAAUGUAAAUUGCUAAGUGCACACAGAAAAUGGUUUAGGUUAAGGCUAAUCGUUAGAUUGAUUUUAGUGGGCCUAAUCGUGCGGUGGUAUUGGAUCUGUGUAUGCUUUGUGAGGUGUACUUAAAUAAAUUUUUGUUUGAUUGUUUAAUAGUAGUAUAGAUAAGACAAGAUUGCUGCAUUCUUAUGUACGUGCCAUAUAUAAUUACACAUUUUCAGUACAGCAAGCGGCAACCUCAGAUAAUCCCAAAUCUAUAAUUCUAGAUUGCUUGAAGUCCCACGAUUCUUAUUUAAUAUGUAAUGCACAUGCACCCACUGAACAGACACUUUGUCGGCGUGGGUGCUGCGAACGGAGCUGAAGUCAACGCGGAUGCCGAUGGUUGCCGGAGAGCAUGCCCUGGACGUGGAUGGAGUCGUCGCAGUAGCGGCAGAAGAGCGCCUGGCCUCCAGGCAGAAGACGAUGGCGGCGAUAGCACGUGUGUUCCCGGAGGAAGACGAAGCUCCUCGCGCUUCCCCCAUCGUGGCUAGCGUGUAUGAUGGCGGCAGGCGGCUCGCGAUUAGCUUUCUAAUAGGAUGGAUGCGUCCGAUAUAAGUUUUUUAAUAGGAUGGAUUUGUCUGAGAUUAGUUUCCUAAUAGGAUGGAUGCACUCUGAUUUAGUUUCCUAGAAUAGGAUGCACCCGUGAUUAUUAGUUUCCUAAUUGCUCAGGCGUGGAGUUUCAUAUUUUCCUCCACGGUGGAGUACGGUCAGUCAAUGUAAAUUGCUAAGUGCACACAGAAAAUAGUUUAGGUUAAGGCUAAUCGUUAGAUUGAUUUUAGUGGGCCUAAUCGUGCGGUGCUAUUGGAUCUGUGUACGCUUUGUGGGGUGUGCUUAAAGAAAUUUUUGUUUGAUUGUUUAAUAGUAGUAUAGAUAAGACAAGAUUGCUGCAUUCUUAUGUAUGUGCCAUAUAUAAUUACACAUUUUCAGUACAGCAAGCGGCAACCUAAGAUAAUCCCAAAUCUAUAAUUCUAGAUUGCUUGAAGCCCCACGAUUCUUAUUUAAUAUGUAAUGCACAUGCACCCACUGAAUAGACACUUUGUCGGCGUGGGUGCUGCGAACAGAGCUGAAGUCAACGUGGAUGCCGAUGAUUGCCGGAGAGCAUGCCCUGGACAUGGAUGGAGUCAUCGCAGUAGCGGCAGAAGAGCGCCUGGCCUCCAGGCAGAAGACGAUGGCGGCGAUAGCACGUGUGUUCCCGGAGGAAGACGAAGCUCCUCGCGCUUCCCCCAUCAUGGCUAGCGUGCAUGAUGGCGGCAGGCGGCUCGCGAUUAGCUUUCUAAUAGGAUAGAUGCGUCCGAUAUUAGUUUUUUAAUAGGAUGGAUUUGUUUGAGAUUAGUUUUCUAAUAGGAUGGAUGCACUCUGGUUUAGUUUCCUAGAAUAGGAUGCACCCGUGAUUAUUAGUUUCCUAAUUGCUCAGGCGUGGAGUUUCAUAUUUUCCUCCACGGUGGAGUAAGGUCAGCCAAUGUAAAUUGCUAAGUGCACACAGAAAAUGGUUUAGGUUAAGGCUAUUCGUUAAAUUGAUUUUAGUGGGCCUAAUCGUGCGGUGGUAUUGGAUCUGUGUAUGCUUUGUGGGAUGUGCUUAAAGAAAUUUUUGUUUGAUUGUUUAAUAGUAGUAUAGAUAAGACAAGAUUGUUGCAUUCUUAUGUACGUGCCAUAUAUAAUUACACAUUUUCAGUACAGCAAGCGGCAACCUAAGAUAAUCCCAAAUCUAUAAUUCUAGAUUGCUUGAAGCCCCGCGAUUCUUAUUUAAUAUGUAAUGCACAUGCACCCACUGAACAGACACUUUGUCGACAUGGGUGCUGCGAACGGAGCUGAAGUCAACGCGGAUGCCGAUGGUUGCCGGAGAGCAUGCCCUGGACGUGGAUGGAGUCGUCGCAGUAGCGGCAGAAGAGCGCCUGGCCUCCAGGCAGAAGACGAUGGCGGCGAUAGCACGUGUGUUCCUGGAGGAAGACGAAGCUCCUCGCGCUUCCCCCAUCGUGGCUAGCGUGCAUGAUGGCGGCAGGCGGCUCGCGAUUAGCUUUCUAAUAGGAUGGAUGCGUCCGAUAUAAGUUUUUCAAUAGGAUGGAUUUGUCUGAGAUUAGUUUCCUAAUAGGAUGGAUGCCUUUGAUUUAGUUCCUAGAAUAGGAUGUACCCGUGAUUAUUAGUUUCCUAAUUGCUCAGGCGUGGAGUUUCAUAUUUCCUCCAGGGUGGAUUACGGUCAGUCAAUGUAAAUUGCUAAGUGCACACAGAAAAUGGUUUAGGUUAAGGCUAUUCGUUAGAUUGAUUUUAGUGGGCCUAAUCAUGUAAUGGUAUUGGAUCUAUGUACGCUUUGUGGGGUGUGCUUAAAGAAAUUCUUGUUUGAUUGUUUAAUAAUAGUAUAGAUAAAAUUUCGAGAUAUGACCUUUUUGCUACCGCCAAGGUCCAUGGCGGUAGGGUUUAACAGCCUACCGCCAAGGUCCCUGGCGGUAGGGUUACAUGCCCUACCACAAAAUCUUUUAAGUGUUAAACACAAUGCGUGCUUGUGCCUACCGCCAAGCACCUUGACAGUAGGAUUAUACAGACUACUGCUAGUAUGUUUGGCGGUAGGGAUGUUUCCUAAAGCCAAGGUCCAUGGCAGUAGGUUGUUACACCCUACCGCCAUGGACCCUGACGGUAACAAAAGGGUCAGAUCUUGAAAAACUAAGAUCAUUUUACCACCCCCACCCACUUCCUCCCGGUCACUGUCCAUCCAAUACCUAUCUUAAUUAACCUUCUGCGUCAUGCGUCGACAGAUAUCGUAGUAAAAGAAACGGAGAUGGCAACACUGACAAGCGACACAUCGAUCGAUCCAUCGCUCGGCCGUGCAUGCGCCGGCGAUCGCGCAGGCAGACUCGAGAGGCUCAGCAUGCAGACAUGGGGACAUGGAGUGGGUAGCAGCAGUGCGGCAGUACGUUUACACUGUGCUGACCCACGACGGGUCUGGGGCUCGAGUGGAGAGCUGUUCGUCAGCUCCGCUUUGCCGUGGCUUGUCUCGUCGACCCUUUUGCGCGCGCGCACAGUUACAGUUCAAGGGUUUCCACGGCCCAAAUAAUUGCGCGUUCCGUGGAACGUUUCCAAGUCGAUGAAAACGAAAGCGGGGUUAAUUACUUGGUGCUUAUCAGGUCUCGGUAGAUAUUUUUCUUUUCUUUGGAUUUUUGCGCAUAUGGAAUCAGCCUGUCUGCUUCAGUGUGUUGGUCUAUUGGGCCGCUAACCAACCCCGGCCAUCGCGUGCGUGUUAGGUUAGGCCGCCGGAGGCCCGGCCCGGACAGUCGGUCAACGUGCGCACGGAGACGGCGACAGGCGGGCGCACGCAGUUGGUUACUGGCGGGGUCGCCGUCGACGGCCGGCCGGCGAGGAGCCGAAGUCCGACCUCGCGUUCGCGUGCGUAGGUGCGUGCCACCGGGCUGAGCGAGACUGGAGGAGGACAAAGGCUGACCGAACAACGAGGGUUUGUUGGUGGGAGAACGUGCGCUACGGUCUGAACGAAAGCGAGGUGCCGCACUCGAACGCGGUUCGGCGGAGACACGCUGUCGGUAAGCAAGCAGGGACUGCGUGGGACGAGGAGGCUGCUGGACGUCGCUGUGCGCCGGGGAGGAGCGGUGGCGUGCCGGCGGCAGCGAGACCGGCCACAUGGCGCUGCGCCCGGCCGGACGGGCGGGGGACAUGCGCGCGCCCGUUGGGCCUUUCGGGGGGCCAAAAGAACAACGGGGGAGGAGAUUUCGGAUGGGGCGGCUGUGCGGCCGAGGCGCCGUCCGCCCCGUUCAUGCGGGAGCAGAGAAUCCAUCUCAUUUCCACCGUGACGCCUGGCCUGGGGGCUGGGGCUGGUGCACUGGUGGUACGUGCUGGGGGGCGCACGUGGCGGACCGGGCCGUCCUCGCCGUCGUGGCCGCGGCAGAGGGUCGGGCACGGGCACGGCCAGGCCCACGUGCAACUGUGCCACCCCCACUCCCAUUGGGUCUGGGCAUCCGGCCAGCUCGGACUGCGUACCGGCCUACCGCCAUGCCAGGGCCCGUGCUCCCUCCGCCGGCGCCACUUGCGCCGGGCCGGUGCCACCCGCCACCCCCAUCCGCGCGGAUCCCGAGGCAGGCUGACUCAGCCUCUCCUUCCCGGCGGCCCCAGACCGGAUCGGAUCCAACGCCCACGCCCCUAUCCGACUAGGAUCGCCGGACCUAGUGAAGAACCCACCAUGAUCUACUAUCUAAUAUGACAGCGUGCACAGUGCAUGGUAUGGACUGCAAAUUGAUGCUAAAGCCGUUCUUCUUGGCUCCAAAGCGUACGUACGAGCCAUGCCACCAAAUUAUUGGUAUGAUCCCAACACACACACACACACACACACACACACACACACACAAUAAGAUAAGAAAAGUAGGGCAAGUUGGGGGGAAGAUUAGUUAGUGGGUAAAGAAUGAGCUUUGCCUGGCGCCCAGAAGAGAACCCUUUGAAUACAACGCAAACACAGCCGUAAAGCGGCGUUGCUGCCCUGUUGCCGGUGCUGUAUUACCAUCAUUCUGUUGCGCCAAACCCUUUGUUUACACCGCACACUUUGCUUGCCCUUCUCCCACUGAUUGCCGUGCACUUGUGCAUGCCCAGGAGGGGUGUUUCAGUUCCAGCGUUCUCGACUCCAACACCACGACACUCCAACNNNNNNNNNNNNNNNNNNNNNNNNNNNNNNNNNNNNNNNNNNNNNNNNNNNNNNNNNNNNNNNNNNNNNNNNNNNNNNNNNNNNNNNNNNNNNNNNNNNNNNNNNNNNNNNNNNNNNNNNNNNNNNNNNNNNNNNNNNNNNNNNNNNNNNNNNNNNNNNNNNNNNNNNNNNNNNNNNNNNNNNNNNNNNNNNNNNNNNNNNNNNNNNNNNNNNNNNNNNNNNNNNNNNNNNNNNNNNNNNNNNNNNNNNNNNNNNNNNNNNNNNNNNNNNNNNNNNNNNNNNNNNNNNNNNNNNNNNNNNNNNNNNNNNNNNNNNNNNNNNNNNNNNNNNNNNNNNNNNNNNNNNNNNNNNNNNNNNNNNNNNNNNNNNNNNNNNNNNUAAAGCGCCGGCCUCCACUCGCGCCACCGGAGAGGAAUAAGAUCCCCGGCAGAUCGCAUCGGCAGUACCGCCUACUCGAGUGCCUAGGAAAAGAGCGCGCCGGUGCUUCCGAUCAUGCCAGAUUUCAGUCCACCAAUGAACAAAGAAGGCAACUUGCAGGUUAAACUAAACCCAAACAGUUUGCUGGGGUUCUGCAUACCAGGUAUGCUAGUUUAGAACUUCAGUCUUCAGAUUAGAUGUAUGUGUGGCUGGUGAAGCUCACUGGAAACGGAAGCUCUAACCCCGGCUGAAUUGGUUGGUCAGUCACAUCCACAUAUAACUAUCCACAUAACUAAGCCCAACAAACAUGAUCUAAAGAAAAACAUCUCUUCUCCUUGGCUCAGCACCAGGAAAAGAAUCCACUCCAACAACCAUGUCAAAGCAAAUCCAUCGGCGAAAACCUACAGGCAUGAUAACACUACUACCUCCGUCUCAGUGAAUAAGUCCAUCGGCAAAGACCUAGAACUACGCGAAUGACUUAUUCACCUAGACGGAGGUAGUACCAGGCAUGAUAACACUACCGGAUCCUACAAUUAUUUGCUAGUCAUCCUGGCAUAUAUAGAGCGCGCUAAAAGAAGAAUAUCUAGAAUUGUCAAACUGUGACGCCACGCUUGUAUGUCGAUCCAAAUGUAGUUGGAUGCUUGAAGCAAAAGGAAACACGCACACGAGCACGGGACAAGGGUGUAUUAAAAACCAGAAGAAAAUGUAUCGACAUCAAUAUCAAUAAUGGUACAAAAAUAUGGGACAAAGGGUGUAUGAUGAUAUUUAACUCGGGAUCAAGUUUCUACAAGGCAAGCUAAAUAAUAAACACAUAUCUGACAUUUCAACCUCGGUACCAUCCAUGAGUUUUAAAUAUACAGAGGGGCUACACAAAUGAUGAGUUCUCGAUUCGGAAGUUUUUACUGAGCUUUUUAGACAACUAUAUAUUUAUUCAAAAAUUAAGACAAGCAAUUGGAACUGUAAUCCAACACUUCAUUCACAGGCCUUCCUUCCACCCCCAGCUUGCUGCAACAUCGGCAAAUGGACUCUCCAGGACCAAAUCAGAAACUCCCCCUCAGGCUCGGCAACACAGGGACGAACAUAGUACCGGUUUGAUCUUAUUUUGGACCCCCACCCCUAAUCACAAGUCCAGAUGCAUGCUUGAUUUGAUCCCGAAUGCACAGCUGACCAAUCACAAUAUCCAAUGUUUGCCAUCGACUUGCGCAACUUGUAAUAACAAUAAUGAUAAGUAACAGCAGGAUUACCUCUAGGAUACGCAGCAUAACAGAAUUCACCAAUCCUUCG
rnacentral:lncRNA from 1 species